rnacentral:lncRNA from 1 species
UUUAAAACAUGUUCCUUUCCAAAAUGACAAGGCAAAAAUCAUACUUUUGUAGCAGAAUCAUUUACUUUUGCCAAAUAGCAAUCCAAAUUACUGACACAUGACAAUCUGAAUUAAAACAAAAAUAUUAUUCAUUUGCAACAUUCGGUUUAACAACUAGUUUAGUUUGAAAUUAAUCAACCCAAGAUUAUCGAAACAAAGAGUCAAGUCUCCAACCCUAUAUCUUUCUUGAGUAAACAGGGAUAUACCCCAUUUGGGAUUCAAAACAAAAACGAAGUAAACAAAACAGAACAAAACAACAACCUCAUUUGCCGAUCAUGAUCCCCUACUCAUAAGAACGAGCUAAGCAAGCUAAGCAAAACUAACAAAACGUCAACCCCUUAGGCAGAUCAUGAUCACCCACACAAUGAACACAACAAUACUACAGCUGCAAAAGGGAUCUUGGAAAAGGACAGACUCAUUGUUUGGAAAAAGACAGUGGUCUCAGCUCAUGAACACCGAAGUCCAUAGCUUCACCGUGUCGAGUAUCCCCUUCCCCAGUUCGUCGCUUCGAGUUGCCCGAUCAUUGAAAAUUCUCGUGUUUCUCUGCUUCCAUAAUUCCCAGCAGGCUGCAGCAAAGCACAAAUCAAAGCGGGUUAAUUGCCGCCCCCUCAAAGUCCUUCUAGAACAGUACCACCGAGUAGCUAAGUCGCCUGGAAGGUUAGACACCAGCAAGUGAUGUGAGUUUGAAGCACCUCGAUUGAUCCGGGUCCACACAGAUCUCGCAUAGGCGCAGGAAAAGAACAAAUGUUCAAGAUUCUCAACAUGGUUCCAACCCUAUAUCUUUAAUUUGCUUUAAAAUGGAUUCCUUACCUGCAGAGUAAAGAAUAAUAUAUACUUUGUUGCUGAAGCUUCUGCUUCUACCAAGUGGCAGUCGAAAUUGUUGACGUGUGGCAAUCUGAUUUAAGGCAAUUAUUUUUUUAUAAUUAAAAAGGUUUAAACUAUCUCUAAAAAUAGGAUGAAAAUUUGGGAUAGCAAUCAACAUAGUCUUAUCCAACCUUUCUUAAUUAAAUUAUCUCUAAAAAUAAUUAGGUUUUAAAUUUGUUAUAACCGAAAAUCAAUUUAUUAUUUUUUUAAAAAAAUAAAACUUUAACAAUUUCUGUGUGCAAACGCACGAGUUAGAGACUAGUUUAUUUUGAAAUUAAUUGAUCCAAGACUACAAAUCAAAGAAUCUCAAACUCUAUAUCUUUAGUUUGCUUUAAAAUGGGUUCUUUUCUAAAGUGUCGAGCAAAGAAUGAAGCAUGCCAAACUAUCAGCAUAUGAGAGUCUUAUUUAAGACAAAUAGUUAAUACAUUUGGUAUGCAACUAGUAAAUCUAUUAAUUUGUAGCUGCAUAUAUCUUUGAUUUAAUUAAUUUGUUCGAGUGGUGAACUCCUACAUACAAUGGGAUGCUUCUUUGUUGCUUCAAUGGAAUGCACAAAUUGUUUAAAAAUAGGAAGAAUUAAUGCACCUUGUGCAUAUGCAUUGGUAUAGCAAGAUUCCUUGGAGCUAUAAUGUAUUAAUUAACUAAUCAGCCCAAGGAUAUAGAAGCAAAGAAUCUCGAGCCCUACAUCUUUAUCUUUAAUUUGCUUUAAAAUUAGGUCCUUCUUAAAGUGGCAAGUCAAGGAUCAAAGUUUUGUAGCUCAAAUUUCUGAUUUCACCGAGCCAAACUAUUGACACCACCUGUCACACCCGAAUAAUCUUACAUCAGAUAGUAAUGAAAAUAUGAUUAGAUAUAUAAUAAACUUAGACACUAAUAAUAAUAAUUAGACUUUAAUAUAUAUUUUGGGCCGGUGUUUGGGCUCAACGAGUUAUUGUGGCUAGUGAGCUGGAUCAUUACAUUUAGUAUCAAAGCCGGUUCACCAGUCGAAAAUGUUUGGCAAGCUUCGGCUGAGUUAAGAUAUGAAAGACAUGGUGAUCGGCUAUGUCAGAGUAUGGAUGAUAAGGUUAGCGAGACGAGUCUCACAUCACUUGGUGAUCUUGGGUUGUGUUUGUGAUUGGACUGACGAGAACGUCAGGGUCUUAACGGAAGGAGUCUGUCACAACCCAGUAAUCCCAUAUCAGAUAGAAAUGAGAAUGUGGUUGGGUAUAUAAAAGACUUAGACACUAAUAAUAAUAACCGGCUUAAACAUUUUAGACUGGUGUUUGGGCCCAACGAGUUAUUGUUGCUAGUGGACUGGGUCGUUACACCACCUGAAUAUAUUUGUUUCACCGAAAAAUGGAAAGAGGUGGAUUCAUUUUCACUAUAAAUAUCCACUUAUGUUGUUUGGUUCACCAUAACUACACCUACAGUCAAAACUAAAUUUUUCAAACUACUAUAAUAAACUUUGAUCUACUGCGGGGCAAAGUCAAUUACGAAAAAAAAAAAAAAAAAAAAGAGUAAGAACAAAUAAUAAAAUAUUAACCGUAGAAAACUUUAGCUUCUACAUAAUCCUAUUCAAGCUUCUUUUAAAAAAAAAAAAAAAUACUUAUCUAUGUAAAUAAUAAGGUCUUAAAAUUUUCAUAAUCUUUUAUAAAAUAGACUUUCUUUUUAAAAUUAACUUAUUAUUUUUAAAAAAAAAUACUAUUGUGUAAUACAAAAGUUAGUGAGAUCUUAGUUUUGAAAUUAAUCAACCCAAGAAUAUUGAAGCAAAGAAUUCCAAAUGAUACAACUUUGAUUUUUUGAAAAUAUGCUCCUUCCACAGUGAAGUGUAGAAUCAUAGUUUUGUAGCUGAACCAUCAGCUUUCGCCAUGUGGCAAUCAAAAUAAAUUAUUGACGCAUAGUAAUCUGAAUUAAGACAAAUAAAUUAUUCAUGUGCAAUCAAAUAAGUGGAUAAAUAAGUUAGAAAGCGCGAAACUACAGGGAUUUAACAGUUGGGACAUAAUCGCUAUAAAAUCAAGAAGUAGUUAGAAGUUGAUUGCAAAAAUAAAAAAAAAUAUUAGGGACUAAAGUAAAAAUGGUGCAAAGGUUGUGACAAAUGGUACAAUUGACCCUCAAUUAAAAAGAAAAAAAGAACGUGGGAUCCGCAAAAUCCCCCAAAUAAGGAGAGCUCUUCUUUUGAUUCUCAAAUCAUAUAUUUAUAAAUUUUAAAUGUAAAUUGAAAUAUCAAAAUCAAAAUAAAAAAAUUUAAGUUGAAAUAAAAAAUUAGAUUCAAUUUAAAAUUUAAAUUUCAAUUUAAAUUCAAACUUUAAAUUUGAAUUAAAAAUUUUAAUUUCUACAUACGGCCCACAAUCAAUCAAAAUAAGAAGAGACUUUGUUUAAAAUUUAAAUUUAAAAUUUUAUUGUUUGAAUGUGGCCCAUAACAUUCCAAAAUAAGAAGAGAUAGAAAAGAAAAAAAAAUAAAAAGUAAGAGAGAGAGAGAGAGAGGAGUGGAUCGCACAAAAAAAAAAAUAAAAUAAGAAAAUAAGAAAAAAGUGGGGUGGGUCCAACGGCCCUUAGAGUGCGGGGAGAGCUCCUAUGGGUUCCCAAAUUAUAUAUUUUUAAAUUUAAAUUUAAAAUUUUUUUUUUUUUGUAUGUGGCCCACAAUACUUCAAAAUAAGAAGAGAUAGAAAAAAAAAAAAAAAAAAAAAAAAAAAAAAAAAAAAAAAAAAAAAAAAAGAAAAAGAAAAGUGGGUUGGGUCCAACGCCCUGGAGUGGGGGGAGAGCUCCUAUAUGGGUUUCCAAAUCAUAUAUUGAUAAAUCAAUACAAGAAUACAGAAGCAAAGAAUCUCACGCCGUACAUCUUUAAUUUGCUUUAAUUAGUUCCUUGUCGAAGUGGCAAGUAAAGGAUCAUAUAUUGUAGCUUAAAUUUUUGUUUUUAUCGAGUGACAAGCUAAAUUAUUGAAUCUCUGUUUGUUUAUUUCUUCUCAUAAAUGCCCACUUCUAUAAUUUUGUUUUACCAUAACUCCACAUUCGAGCGUAUGUUUGUUUGGGUGGAAGUUGAGAGAGAAGUGGAGAGGGAGAAGUCGUUUCGUCAUAAACGAUCAUUUUCGUUGUGUGGUUCGCCGUAAAAAGAUUACGGUCGAAACACGAGUUAAUCUGAAACGAUAUAAUUUACUUGGGCCGAAGUCAAUUGCGAUGAAGGAAGGUGAAGUUAAAAAAUAAUAAAAUAAUAUGCUAGGUAAAGUUAUUUAUAUUUAAAUUUAUUUAAUUAUGGUACUAAUUAUUUUUUUAUUCAUUUGGCAUAUUUAAAAUAUGAUACAAAUUGAUUAAUUAGGUAUUAAUAUUAUUUUUUUUUUGUAAUUGUAUUGGUGUAUUUUGCUAGGUAAAGUUAUUUAUAUUUAAAUUUAUUUAAUUAUGGUACAAGUAGAUUUUUUAUUCAUUUGGCAUAUUUAAAAUAUGAUACAAAUUGAUUAAUUAGGUAUUAAUAUUAUUUUUUUUUUGUAAUUGUAUUGGUGUAUUUUCAUAAUUUACCUGUUUUAAAUUAACUUUUAAUUAUAUAAAAAUAUAAUUAUAUUAUUUUUAUUUGGCCAAUUUGCAUAAAAAAUCUACUUAUUUUGGGCUUUUGCAAAAUCGGGCCACCUUUUUCGUUUUUGCAGAUUCGGUCCGCUUUUUCAGCAAACUGACCAAAAUACCCUUAUUACUUUUUCUCUUUCCUCUUUCUCUCUCUUCUUCGUUUCCCUCGUUCUUUUUUUUUUCUCGCCGGCAGAGCGGAGGCGGAGCGAAGGCAGAAACGGUCCGUCUCGCCUCUCACCCUCAUGCUCUCGCCCUCGCCCUUGCCCUCGUCAAUACACCCCCCACCUUCCUCGUUUCCGACCCCGCCAAGACCGCGCCACGAUUUUUUUUUUGCUUUUUUUUUUCUUUUCUUCUCCGACUCUUCUCCACCGUCUCCGACGACGACGUCUCUCGCCCUUCCCCGCCCUUCUCAUCUCUCCCUCUCCCUCAUUUUCUGCCGCCUCCGACGAUGAUUUAUCUUCACCGGCGCUGAUGCCGACACCGUAGAGGUCACUGCGGCGCUAUAGCCUCGGAGCGGGGGGUCCUUAGCGGCGUUGUCACCGACGCCCUAGCUGUUGGCAGAGAAGGUGACAAAAAAAAUUAUAGAAAAAACAGAAAAAAAAAUAAAGAUAAAAAAUUAUAUAAAAAGAAGGAUGAAGAUGAAAUUGUAUCGUUAAUUACAAAAAAAAUUAUAAGUUGCACUAUUUAAGAUGUAAACUGCUGCUUUAAGAUAAAAAUUAUACUUUUUGAACGAAAAUUAUACUAUUUUUUAUCUUAAACUGCAUCCUUUUAAAUGAUAUUUAUACUGUUUUUCUCUUGUUGCACUGUUUCUCCUCUUGUUGCACUAUUUCUCCUCUUGUUUACACAAAAAUGGUGCAACAAGAGGAGAAACAGUGCAACAAGAGGAGAAACAGUAUAAAUAUCUCUUAAAAGAGUGCAGUUUUUCUUUUUAUUGCAUUGUUUCUACUCUUGUUGCACUAUUUCUCCUAUUAUUUACACAGAAAUGGUACAAUAGGAGAAGAAACAGUGCAAUAAGAGAAGAAACAGUAAAUAUAUCUCUUAAAACAGUACAGUUUUUCCUCUUGUUGCACUAUUUUUUCUCUUGUUUAUACAGAACUGGUGCAACAAGAGGAGAAACAAUAUAUAUAUAUCUUAAAACAGUGCAGUUUCUCCUCUUGUUGCACUGUUUCUCCUCUUGCUGCACUGUUUCUCCUCUUGUUUACACAGAAAUGGUGCAAUAAGAGGAGAAACAGUGCAACAAGAGGAGAAAUAGUAUAAAUAUCUCUUAAAAGGGUGCAGUUUAAGAUAAAAAAUAGUAUAACAAGAGGAGAAAUUGUGCAACAAGAGGAGAAACAGUGCAACUUUUAUUUAAAGAGUGUAAUUUUUAUCUUAAUGGAUGCAGUUUACAUCUGAAAGAGUGUAAUAAGAAGAGAAACAGUAUAAAUAUCUCUCAAAGAGUGUAAUUUUCGUUUAAAAAGUAUAGUUUUCAUCUUAAAGCUGCAGUUUACAUCUUAAGUAUUGCAACUUAUAAUUUUUUUUGCAGUUAACGAUGCAAUUUCAUGUUCAUUCUUCUUUUUAUAUAAUUUUUUAUCUUUAUUUUUUUUCUGUUUUUUCUAUAAUUUUUUUUUUCACCCUCUCUGCCAACAGCCACGGUGCCGGCGACGACGCCGCUAAGGACCCCCGCUACGAGCCUGUAGCGCCGCAGUGACCUCCACGGUGUCAACGUCACGUCGGCACCAGCGAAGAUGCAUCAUCAUCGAAGGCGGCAGAGAAUGAGGGAGAGGAAGAGAUGAGAAGGGCGGGGAAGGACGAGAGAGGCGUCGUUGUCGGAGACGAUGGAGAAGAGUUGAAGAAGAAAAGAAAAGAAAAAAGCAAAAAAAAAAAAGUCGCGGCGCGGUUUUGGCGGGGUUGGAGGCGAGGAAAGUGGGGGGUGCGUGGACGAGGGCAAGGGCGAGGGCGAGGCGAGGGCGAGAGAAUGAGGGUGAGAGGCGAGACGGACCGUUUCUGUCACGCCCCGGGGUCCCUUUUUGAUUGAAGCACAGCGGAAAAACGUCUAAAAUUUUUUUUUUGAAAACCUGACCCCAGAGUAUGCCAAAUCCGCCACAAAUACAGAGAAUCCACUGUUCACACGGACAGAGUCUCCCCUGUAUUUGCACGGCGUCGCACAAGUACAAACGUACAAACAGAGUACAACCACAACUAAAUAAAUAUAGAGAUAACUAUACAUUCAUACAUUCACCAUUCACAUCACAGAUUUACAUUCGAUAUUUAAACAUAAAUUCGCGGAAACCUUUUGAAAACUGUUUCCUACGCGAAAACUUUUAUCUUUUAAAAACGCUACCACGAGGGGUAGAAAACUAUUUCAGUUUACAAAACCAUAAUUCUUUUAAUAUGAUAACUCAAUUAUACAAAUGGAGUAACAAAACUGAACCAGUAACAGUCUAAGCCAGAAUAAUCGGAAAUAACCACGUAACAGCUAAACUAACCAAACCGAGUCGGAAGUUCUAUCGACCUCUAUCAACGUGUCGCCUGUUUCGUCUCAACCCUCACUUCCCGCAAUACCUGAAAAAUGGUGGGGAAGGUGAGAACAUGUAAAUAUGUCUCCCCUCCCAAUAGGUACCGCAAGCCAAAGAAGGCGAGGAGUACUCACCGGAUCAGGAAGAUAAACAAUAGUAUAUGGGUAAGUGAAAUACAGUAGCAACGAUCAUGACGAAAGAGAUAUAAAUGAAAGAACAACUACCGCUACUGUAAACAGAACGACAAGCGUGCAUACAGAGAUAUCAGACUAUAGUAGCAAGACAAAUGUAAGAAAGGACUAUAGGUAUACCUGUAAACAACUGCUACUACAACGAAGAACCGAAAGCAUACAAGAAUACGAAAACUAUAGUAGCAAGACAACUGUAAAGAAAGAACUGUAGAUAUACAUGCAACAACCGCUACUAUAGCUAUAUGCGUCAACAGGACAAGUAGUCCAAAAGUACCCAAUCUAAACCUGCCAUGUUGGUCCGGAGACCUCAGGCUCGUGCCACAUUCACUCAACCUGCAUAUAACCCAGUCUUAGCCUCUGGGCUCACGGGUCGGACGUACGACCACUUUUCCGGAAAAGAACACCCCCUGCGGUGGAUCAGACUGCCAGUGUUCGUGAAAUGCUAACGAGUGGUGGCGAUCGAUGCUGAUAUGCUCGCCAACCGUCGACGACCAGCCGACAAUCACUGCCCCUCUGGGCAUACCGACCGUGUAGGUCAUCAAGUAAAAAACGUGAACCGACCGAGAUAGGUCAAUGUACGGAAAGUAACGAACGACCAAACAGAUCACAGAUGCAAACAGGAGAACCGACCAACCAGGUCAAUAGUAUAGUAUGUACGAAUGCCGCCUACUCUACCCCUACACAGGACACUACACAUAGAACAACCAGGUAGAGUAAAUAAAGAUAGCAUGUAAAUACUGCUCGAAGUCAACUAACAGUAUGAACGCAAGAACCGACCGAUAGGUCACAAGAGUGUAUCGAUAUAGUCCAGAACUACCGUCAGCACCAGCUGACAAUCCUACCCCUCAGGGUACACCGACCUCCAAGGUCAUCAACGACAGAACUCACGAAGCUAACCGACUAGGUCACAAACAUACCAAACAGUGGAACUGAGUAGACUAUAGUCAUCCAUCGGCGUUGGCCGACAAUCCCACCCCUUAGGGUAUAUCGACCUCAAGGGUCAACGAACGGAGUACGCGAACUGACCAAUCAGGUCACCGAAACGAAGUACGAGAACCGACCACUUAGGUCACUGGAAUCAUAUAUGGAUAAACUACUCUACUCCUACACAUGAUACCGAGCAUAGAAACAUAUGAGUAGAGUAUAACAGCAACAACAGGGAUGCAAGCUCAAUAUAUGAUAUGAUAAUAAUAACAACAGAAGAACAGGGAUAGAAGAAAUAUCACCGAGCGUGCACCACUGUACCGACUUCGGAUCGAAGUACCCACCUGUACAACUGUCGCGCUUGUCUCCUGACUGCGAAAGAGCGUCAACCGGACCUAAGGAAAGUCCACCGGGUUAGUGUCUAACCCACAGCUAAUAACCACUAAAUCCACAACCUACAAGCAAACCCUUGGGGAUCGGUUUCCCAAACCGAUCGCCGUAAUACGCCGGAAGUCCCGUAAUCGCACGGGGACUCCACCGGGACCCACGAACUGUCCCGGAACACACCGACUCAUACCGUGAGUUACCCGCUGCCACUAAACACCAUUAGUCAUGGGAUUUGGCAGCAAACACAAGGAUACAUAACCAAACAGCAAUCGCCGAAUAAUUGUUCGGAUUCGGGUUCCCGGAAGUGUCAAUUUCGACACCGGAACCCACCGUCGCUCACCCGUCAUUUCCGAACUCUCGAAAUGACGCAAGUGACCAGCCAACAAGGCUCAGCGACUACACAAAAGCUCACGAAGCACCGUCGGAAUAAUUCCGAACCGAACCCGCGUUCCGUCGGCGGAUUUCGCCGAAAAACGCACCGGAAAUGCAUUUCCGAUCUUCGCAAGGGUCUGGGGCCUUGGACAAUCAGUCCAGAGGUUAACCUCAACCAACACUUGCUGCCAACAGUAGCUACAACGAACCAAAAUGCAUAAAAGCCCUCCUGAUGACCCAAAAUCGCAUUAUUUCAUGCGAUUUCGGUGCUUUCAUGGUCCGACAACGCAAACCAGAGGUCAAACAGCCAAGACGAGACUCCUGCUGACUGGUCUCGGUGUGCCGGAGGCCGUGCUCACCUUUCGGAGCACUGCCGGCCACUGUGGAGGACGCAUGAGCGACGCAAACAUCAGUGAAACAGCGCGCACAGCGCCUAAAUCGCGUCUAACACGCAAACCGGAGCAUCUCUGACCUAAAUAGAGGUGGCCACGAUGACCGGCACUGAACAAGGAUCAUCGUGCUCACCUCCAGCAGAUUCGGGGUGGCCUCGGUUCACCAAAACAGUGAUCGGAACCCCAAGACAAGGUACAGGAAGCCAACAACAAACUUACCGGAGCAAGGUGGGGCACAGGGCGGCCGGCGGGAUAUCCAGCCAGAGGAGGGUGCUGCCAGUGUGGGGAGGUCCGGGCGCGCAUCGGUCGGCCACGGGAGGCGGCGGAAGCGGCGGGCAUUGAUGCCCUAGCCGCACAACCCGAGGAGAGCCUGGGCUCGGUCCAGCCAACAGGGAGCUUCCGGCGGCGGGAUCUACGGCGGUGGGCGGGUGCGGCCGGACAGGCGGAGGCGGUGCUCACUCCGGCCGGCGUCGGGAGGCGGCGGCGACUGCUCAUGAGCAACCCGAGCCCCUGCGCGCUCGGCUCGGGUUCAGCCGAACAGAACGGCCACCAAGGCGGCCGAGGACCCGCGGGGACGUCGGAGACGACAAAAAGGGGUCGCCUGAAGGUGGAGGGGAAGAAGGAAGGAGGCGAGCGACGGGAGCGGUGGCUUGCAGCUCAAGCGCGGCCACCCGAGCUCAGCUCGGCAGAGGGUCACAGCGGCGGCGCCCAGGGCGUGCGGCGGCGACGGCGGCCAUUCAGGCCGGGUGCGGGGGUGCCGGUGGUCACGAGGGAGGUUGCCGAUGUGGUCCCUGGCGGCGGUAGGGCGCGUGGUGGAAACCAGCCUGGGCUCGGCCCGAGUUGGUCCAGCUCGGCUGCAGAGCGCCCAGGCAACGACGGCGGCGCGCGGGGACGUCCGAGGACCGGCCGGGCCUUCGCCGGAGAUGGGGACCACGGCCAGGGGAGAGGGCCCAAGGAGUAGAUCUCUCAGGCUGAUCCGAGAUAAGGGUGGUAAAGGUUGGGUGGAGGAAAAGAUAGAGGAGAGGCCAGGCACGGAGUUCCCAGCGGCCGGAGCUCCCGCCGGCGGCCGGGGUGCGAGCAUGGCGAGGGCAGAGGCGGCUAGGGUGGAUUAGGGUAAGUUGGGGUGGCUUAGGGUUAGGGUUUCAUGCGAGAAAGCCCUAACAAUGCAUAUAUACAAGGUGUAAUUUGCAAGAAAGCCCCUCAAGGAUAAAUAAUUCCAAACCCAGUCCUUCACAGCGCGAGUAAUACACACGAAUACCCCUCCACGUGCGAUCUCAAGCGAAACGGUACAUAAAAUAUUGCGACUUUUGCAAAAAUACCGUUUUCCCUACACCGACCUCUCCUCGAUCAACGUGCAAUCUCCGCAGAUCCGUCCGUCAGAUUUGCGAACGGAUUGCACCAGUGCAAUCAGCACCUCGGAGACAACAAAGCUACACUUUCGUUUCGUCUCGAUCGACCACGGAUUCACGACAAAAUCCAACCUUCUUCCAAUAGAAGGAAUCACACACAAAUACAUAUAAAACAUGUAUUUUUGGAUUUUCUCGAAAUCCGUGCGUCAAACUCAAAAUCCGUCAGCGCCACUAGUUCCAGAACAGCUGAACCGGUCAAAACGAGCUAUUGGACUGAUAUGAACGGAGUCCGAUACGCACCAGAAGCCAACUCUACUCCGUGGCUUCUCCGGAAAACCGGAGUUACUAUUCACUUAAGUGAAAACUAAAAGUCACGUAUCUUCUCCAUUUUAGCUCAUUUUCGUCUGAAACUUGACGAGUGCUUAUGUAAUUAAAUUACACACAUAAACAUUAUCAACAGAAAGUUUAGUAGCACUGUCAAAAAUCUCAGUCCUUACAUCAUUCCUCCUUUAAAAGAAGUUUCGUCCCCGAAACUUGACCACGUACCCACCGUAAACGAACUCUGACAUUGCUCCACCAAUGCGGUAACACCUUUGGAUACUUGUCAGUCACAAUUCUAGAAUUUGGAUAGAUCAACCUCUGAAAAAGGGAAGAAUAGGACUGCGGUUCCACAAGAACAAGACGAGGGAAACGUACCAAUCCCAAGUCUACGGACCAUAACACACCGGAAUCAACACCAUCCAGUAACCUUGGCCCGAAAAGCCUCAACCGACUCGACCACGUCGCUAAGUUCACGAGAAAGAAUCACGAGCCAACACCACCAAACUGGAGUCUAAUUACCUAGACCGGAGCAAAAUAUUUCCGACUAGCCAACAAUACCUGCUCACCACGAGCGAAAACGAAACGUUCUCCUAAAACUUGAGUCGGUAGCAACAGCCUCUGAGACUACAGUCUCCGACUAACAGAACACACAACUGCCGAAGUCAAGUACUCCUCCACGGAAAGCCACUUUUGGCAUUCGACAGUCUUAGGUCCCACAACCUCACUUUUUACCUGACCAAAAAGGUCGAAGGAUGACAAUAAUAAUUGAGCUCGACAAUUUGCUCGCUCAAUUAAAACUGGUUCGACUAAAUCAACAUACCCACCAUGCAAGUCCAAAACUUGGUGCACAGGAUUGCCAAUCGCACUAUGCGAUACCAACCAUCGGUGAUGCUCAACACCUGUCUCUACGAGACCCUGUCGCUGCCGUCCUACAAGGGACCCUAGCGAUCGGUGUUUCGAGCAAUACCAGAUAACUGUCUCAUUGAAACCCUGGCGCACCUGUCACCAAUUAACCGGACAAGCAUACUAUUCCAACAUCGCACAAUAGGCCGAAAUACAAACCUUACACGAUAUCACCUACGGUGACAAUCAAAGCCAACAACCAAGCUCAAGUCACUCAACCAUAAAUUCUGAACCUCAAGACAAUAGACCGUAACUACUAACCAACAAACCCUUUUAGCUAUGGAAGCACAACUAAAGAGCUACGAACACCCAGACUCGAACUAGAGUCAAAACCACCUACAGUGAUGAUAAAUCAACUGCGCAAACCAACCAAGAAAAUCUAAGGCCCACUACGUGGUCAAAGAUGACCGACACCCAACCAUCCUCACAAGACUAUCUACAGAGGAAUGAAAUACCGACCCAAUCCAUGAGUCCCAAACAGGGAGAAGAUAUUUCGUUUCAUCUUUCGACAACACAUUGUCUGCAGCCAAUGUACUUAUCAAAAGAAGAAGCGAAAUAUCUGAAGAUCCACUACCAACAACAAGGUGGGAGCGUGACACGAUGAAAUAUCAAACGACUUAAUAUUUCACUACUGAACCAAACAUCCUCAACCAAAACCGUCGAAUCAUCGACCUAACAAACCGACGCUCGAAACAAGAUCGAGCUAGAACCGACUCACAGGGAGUCCCAUAACUUUCAAUAUCCAAAAGCUGCUUGCGACUCUAAGCCGCGAACCGCACAAACAGAGGCCUUGGGAAACGGUUUCUCUAACCGAUUUCCGUACCACAUCCGAGCUACACUCAAGGCUUCGAGAACUCCGACAAUACAACGAACCAUACCACGAACCACAGACUAACUCACAACACACCAAUUAGGUAUUAGAAUAACCGCAUACGAUGUAUGCAACAACAAAGACCUAACAUCAAAACUGUAUCAAUCCAACUCUAGUACAUGUCAAUUGACGGAAGAACGAGAUAAGGGUCAAAGAUCGAAACCGCUGAUUUCAUCAGCAAUCAAGGAAGAGAGGUAGGCAUCACAGCCCUACCCAAAGAUCUGAGGAAACAACAUCAACAAUGCAGUCGUCUAAACGACCGCAAACCAAACCCUGGGCUACGCCUUAGUAGCCCCACGGAAGUCGCGACCUUAACAGGUCUCAAUGCCGUCUCCGUAGAGAAUGGCCAACUCUACACCAUUAGUUUGCUUUAAAAUGAUUUUUUUUUUUUUCAAAAUGGCAAGUAAAGAAUGAUACUUUCAUACGCAAAUUUGUAUAUGCAGUCUAUAUAUUGAAGUUUAUUUAAAAAGUUAUAAUCUCUAUAAAUAAUUAGGUUUUAAAUAGUUUUAAACAAUUUUGUAGAAUAUACUAUUUUUCUUAAAACUAAAUUAUUAUUAUCUUUUAAAACAAAUAAAAUUUAAAAAAUAUUUGUGUGCAAUGCACAUGUUAAUAAUUAAUUUAUUUUGAAAUUAAUCGAGCAUAGCAUACUAAUUAAAAGCAAAGAAUCCCCAACAACCCUUUAUCUUUAAUUUGCUUUAAAAUUGGUCCCUUUUUAAAGCAACAAGUAAAGAAUAAUACUUUAAUUAAAGCAUAAACUUGUUACUAAUUAACACUUUUAUAAUUGCAAAAGGUUUAGAGUAUUGAGUAAAGAUUAAAAAGAAGAAAGAGAUAUUGGUGUGCAAUCAUCAUAUCUAUCUAUCUGCAACUAAUUAAAUCCAACAUGUAAUUUUAUCCAAUAUGUAAUUUUAUCCAACCUGGGGGGGAUGAUUGAGUUUGGAUUGUGGGUUCAACUUAUGUAAUUUAUUUUCCUGUAUGUGCUGAUUUUACUCUUUGUUCCACUGUACUCCAAAAAUAGGGUAAAUACCUGUUUAAUAAAAAAAAAAAAUCCAAUCUUAAUUAUUUAAGGAAACUAUUCUUAUAAGUAAUUAGGUUUUACAUUUUCAGUAAGUAGUUUAUAAAAUAUUCCUAUAAGUAACUUAAAAUUUUGGAAAAAUAAAAUUUUAAAAAUAUCUGUAAAUAAUAAUUUACAGAUAUUUUUAAAAAAACUAUCUCUACAAAUUAAUCUUAUUUAAAAAAACUAUCUCAACAAAUAAUUAGUUUUUUAAAUUUAAAAUUUUUCUAUGCAAUAGAUUAUUUCUCCUAACUUUAAUUUAUUAUUUUCUAAAAUAAAAGUUUCUUAAAUAUCCGUGUACAAUUAAUGCACUGAUUAACAACUAGUUUAUUUAACAAACAACCAGUACAAGAAUAUAUAAAGCUAAAAAAUCACCAACCCACCACUUUUAUUUUUAAAAUGCAUGGGUUCUCCUCAAAAGUUGCAAGCAAAGAAUCAUAUGACAAUCCAUAUUCUUUACAAAUGCCAAUCUUAUUUAAUUAAGACAACUAGAUUAUUUAGCUUUAUAUAUUCUUUUAAAUUGUCGUAGAAAGAACUUAAAAUAGGAAAGAAAUUUGGAUAUGCAAUCAAUACAUGACUACAUCAAAUUAUAAUAACAUCCAAUGUUAUUAAAUUAAUAUAUUAUUUAAAAAAUAAAGUUUUAAGAUAUCUGUGUGCUAUGCAUGGAUCAGCAUCUAGUUUAUUUUAAAAUUAAUUGAAACAAGAAUAUAUACAUAUCAAUGAAUCCUAACAUUACAUCUUAAUUUGCAUUAAAAUAUAAAAGUUUUUUCUAAAGUGGCAAGUAAAGAAUCAUAUAUUUUUGUAGUCUUAGUUACUGUUUUCGUCAAGUGGCCAGUUAAUUAAAUUGUUGACAUAUGGUGAUCUUACUUAUAGUAAUGAUAUAUAUUAUUAUUUAUAAUAAAAUAAAGUUAAACUGUUGUAGAAAAAGUUAAAAAUAGAAAAAAAAUUAGUUGGAUAUAUGUGUAAUUAGUAUCUGGCUGUAGCUUCAUCUUUAAUUUUCAUUAAAACAGGUUCUUUUCUCAAAUGAUAAGCAAAGAAUCAAACUUUAUUUAUCAUACAUGCUUAUAAAUACAUUGAAAGCCAUUUGAACCUCUUAUACUAUUCUUUCUCCUUAACACAUGGGCUCUUUCUCCCUAACACAUGAAUAGCAAUUUAGCCAUUCAGUAGGUUAAUUGAAAGUUAUUUGGAUCGCUCUGUUGCUCUUUUUCCUUAACGUAUGAAUUGACGUUUAGUCAUUUGGAUAUCUCUGCUGCUCUUUCUCCCUCGCGCAUGAACAUGGAUUUAGCCAUUUGGAUUUCUAUGCUGGUCCUUCUAUUUAACACAUGAAUGGGUAUAUAUUUAGCGAUUCAGGUACACACAUAUUUAAUUUCUUACAUGCAUUAUUCUUAUUACUUAUCUUUUUAUUUUUUGGUUGUUUUUUUUUUUGUUUGUUUUCUUCAGAUUAUGUUAUUUCUUGCUGUAAUUGAGGUUUAAUACUCAUUUAUUCAAUAGGGAUAACACAAUUACAUGACUAGCAAAAGAAAGAAAACUCCUAAUAAUAUAAGAAAAUUACUCAAAUAAUAAAUCAAGCUUAAUUACAAGGAAGGAAAUAACAUAAUCUGAAGGCAUCAAGAUUUGAGUUCUAGAAAUACUAGUUCAUAAAGCGCACAAUAAAAUUUCACCAGUGAGGCUAUUAAUUUGUUUUUUUUCGUAGCUCUAUAUUAAUAUUUUGUGGCUAUUAAUGGGAUUUUUGUGGGCUCUCAUCUUCCUAUUUAUGCACGAACAUAAAAUACAUGUAAUUUAAAGUCUAAAUUACAAAAAAUUCUUUUAUAAAUAUUUUUUUUUUUACCUUUUUUAAUAACUUUCUAAAACCUAUAUUUAUCUUCUCAACAUUUUAAAUUAUUGUAUUUAGUCUCCGUAUGUUAAGGUUCCGUCACUAUUCCGUCCAUUUCUUAUAAUUUAUACGAAAAUGCCUUUCAAAAUAAUAAAAAUAUUAUUAAAAAAUUAUAUUUUUCUUAUAGAAAAAUAAGAACAGUUUAGUUAUUUUGCCCUCCUUCUAAAAUUUUAGGAAAGUAAGAUAUAGGUUCUUAAAAGUCAAAGAGUAAAAGCAAAAAAAACGAGUAUUUACAAAAAAAUUUAAAAUGAUAAUCUAUUUAAUAUUAUAAUAUAUACUAUAUUAUUCUAAAGUAGCGUCCUCGCGAUAGCAUUGUACCACUUGGCACAAUUUCAAAGCAAGAAUUUACUGCAUUAAAAUUAUAUUAUUAUUAAUAUUAAAUCUUACUAAAACUCUACGAUGCGAAUUUAUUUUGUCCAAUUUUCAUAUUAAGUUCUAUUUAAACUCUAUGAUUCAUAUUAAAUUAAUCAAGGGGGCCACGACCAUCCAAAGUUCAUAAAAUUGUUUUUAAAUUUUUUUAUUAUAAUGUUUUUAUUAAAGUAGCAAGUAAAGAAUUAUACUUUUGUUGCCAAACAGCUGUGACACAUCUAGAAUUUAAAAUAAUUCUGCAUAUAAGAUAUAAUAAUAACAUUAAGAUCUUUUAAUCUGACUAUAGCAUUUUAGACGGUGGUUAGGUCUAAGAGAUGAAGAGUGUUGAGCGUAUUAGAGAUAGAGUAGUUUUAGGAUGCGUGGAUCCUGCGAAGUGGGAAGCGACGUGUUACACAAACUUUCGCCAAAUGACAAGCCAAGUUGUUGGCACAUACCAAUCUUUUUCUUAAGACCACUAGAUAAUUUAUAAUUAAAAAGAUUUUAAAUUGUUAUGGAAAGAGCUUACAAUAGGAAAGAAAUUUGAGUUAAUUUCAUUUGCACCCUCACACAGUUAUGAAACAUCAUAUAUAUCUUUCGAAUUUUUAAAAUUUCACAAAUACCCCUCUAAAUACAAUAUUUCUUUCAUAAAUACCCUCACUAUUAAUUUUUGCUAACUUCUGUCACCUUAGCUUUUUUUUUUUAUUUUACUUCAAAAUAUGAAAUUACCAUUUUACCUGUAAUUUUUUAAUAUUUAUACUAAAACUAUCAACUAUGGGCCAUUUAAGUAAAUCCCUUGAAGUUUUUGUUAAUUUUUCUUUUUUCAACAUAAACUUCAUAGCUUUUAAUUUUUUUAGAUCGUAAUACAUAUGAACUAUAUCCACAUUGCAAUUUGAUUCUUAGACUCAUUUAAUUUUAUAUACUAUGAAGUUACUAUAAUUAUUAAAUUUGGUUGAAUCAUUGAAGGAUUAGAUAAAAUCUCUAAUUUAACAAUAAAAAAUCAUUCAAUUUUAAGAAAAUAAUAUUUAAGAAGACUUUAAUUGAAAAUUUAAAUUUCGGGGGCUAUUUCACAAUGUGUUGUAAUUGAGGGGGUCUCCAUAUAUUUAAAAAACUUUGUGAGGGUGGUGAUUAGAAUAAAAUAGAGGGUAAAAUGGUAUUUUGAAGCUAACAUAAUGGAUUGCUACCAGUGUGGGUAUUUUUGAAAAUUUUUCAUACUUUUGGAGGACAAAUAUGAAAAUUUAAAAUUUUAAAGGGUAUUCAUGACAUUAGAGCUACUCGGAAGGGUGUUGAAGAAAUUUUCCCAAAGAAAUUUGGUUAUGUAAUCCAUAUAUCUAUCUACAACUACAUCAAACAUAUAUAAUGUAUAAUAAUAUCCAAUCUUAUUUAAAAAAGUUAUGUCUACAAUUAAUUAGAUUGUAAUCUUUUUAUAAUUUUUUUUAUAAAAUAGAUUGUUUUUCUCAAAAUUAGUUUAUUAUUAAAAAAUAAAAUUUUGAAAUAUCUGCUUGUAAUGUAUGGGUAACAAUCAGUUUAUUUUGAAAUAAAUUGAAACAAGAAUAAAAAUCAAGGAAUUAGUACACUACAUCUUUAAUUUGCAUUAGCUAGAAUAUAUAGGUUCUUUUCUAGAGUGACAAGUAAAGAAUCAUAUUUCUCUAGUCGUAGUUACUAUUUUCGUCAAGUGGCAAUCUAAAUUGUUGACAUAUGACAAUUUAAUUACUUUUGAUAAUGAUUGUAUAUUAUUUAUAAUAAAAAAGGUUUAAGCUAUUGUACAAAGAGUUAAAAAUUAAAAAAAAAAAAAUGGAUGUGCAAUUAGUAUAUUCAUUUAUAGCUUCAUCUUUAAUUUUUUUCUUCUUUUAAAGUAGAUUCCUUUCCAAAGUGAUAAACAAAGAAUCAUAUUUUUUUUUCUCAUAACUACUUAUAACUACUUUGAAAGACAUUUGAAAUCUCUUAUUAUUGAUCAUCCUCCUUAAUUAACACAUGGCUCUUCCUCCUUAACUAUGAAUAGAGAUUUAACGAUUCAGUACGUUGAAAGCUAUUUGGAUCUCUUUACGCUGCUCUUUCUCCUUAACAUAUGAAUCCGCAAUUAACUAUUCGGAUCUCUGUUGCUCUUUCUUCUUAACAUAUGAAUAGAAAUUUAGCGAUUCAGGUACAUAUAUAUUUAAUUUAUUAUAUUAUUCUUAUUACUUAUCUCUUGAUUUUUAUUUGUAUUUUUCCUCAAAUUUUGUUAUUUCUUACUGUAAUUGAGGUUUAAGACACUUAUUUAUUCAAUAGGGAUUAAGCCACUUAAAUAACACAAAUAUACAACAAAUAAAGAAAGAAACUCCUAAUAAAAUAAGGAAUAUAAAUCAAAUAUUAAAUCAAAGCUUAGAAGGAAUGAAGUAACAUUCUAAUAUGGUACAUGUUAACAAACGGAAUGCAUAAUAUCUAUUAGAUUUACAUGUUAAUUUAAAGAUAAUAAUCUAUCUAACACAUAUUAUUCUAAUGUAGUUUAACGCAUUUUUCACUUUGUCAGAUAUAGAUUUCAUCUCCCUGUUUAUGCAUUUUUUGCCAGACUAUCUGAUAUAAAAUUUUUAGGUGAAAAAAUAUUAUACCACAUGAGAGCGAAGUGCAUCUUUUUGAAUAACAUGAGGCCAAAGUAAAAAAUUUGCUAUAUCGCAAGGAGGGCAAUUUGAAGUUUACCUUAUAACACAAACUAUUUAUUAUUCAUUUCUUAUAUAUACCAUUUACUGCCUUAUUCAAGUGCAUGUUAAUUUCUAGCUAUUUUUCCUCUUUAAAUGUGUAAUGAAAUAUAUAUGGAAUAACACUCGGUUAGAAAAUAAUUGUUAUUUAGUUAAUUACUGAAAGAGUCAACAAAGAAAUUACUGGUUUUAGCUAGAAAGUUUGAGAAAACAUAAUUUAAUACACAACCAGUUUAAAACUUAAGAAUUUUGGGUCCCUAAAUCUUCAGUUUUCUUUUACAAUUUGUCAGAUUAUUUCACAUACAGUAUUUAAGAAUAUAAGUAUUUAAAACCUUUUUAGUCAUAUAUGGAAUUAAUGCCGAAUGUUGAACAAAUUAUUGCAUUAUUACGCACAAUUUUAAUCCCGGAGUUCAGCUUCUGGAUUAAAUUCUACUAAAACUCAAUGGCUCAGAUUUAUUAUUCUUUCCACCAUUAAUUAGAUAUUUUAAAUUUAAAAUUUAGAUAUAUUCUAUGCAUUCUCCUAAAACUUUGCUGUCCAAAUUUAUUCUAAUCUUAAAAUAUUGAAAAAACUUCAAUUUAUCUGUCUGUAGUUUUGUUUUGCACAUUUUUUUUACUUUUGUCACAUUGUAGUUCACAUAUACAGUUGCAUGCAUUUAUCAACUAGGUACCCCGUUUUUUUUUUUUUUUUUUUUUUUUUUUUUUUUUUUUUUUUUUUUUUUUUUUUUUUUGUUAUAUCGUAAGGAUCCGCUGUUAAUUAAACAUGAUAUAAAAAUGCCCCGUAUUUUCUUUUUGAAGGUCAUGCGAUGAUGAUGCUUCGCCUAACUAACUAAAGGCAAAAAUAAAAUCAUAGAUGCAGCUUUUUAAAUUAUAGAAUGACAAAUUAAAAAUAUCUUAAAUGGUAGAGCAAUUAAAUAUAUAUGAAUUUAAUUUUUGAACAAGGGUGUGGUAAAAAUAGAAAUGCACUAAUCAAAAACCAACGUAGGGAGGGGUGAAUUGAAAAGUUUACCCCAAAUCGAAAGGGUUAUAAAUGUCGCUGUCUGUCUGAUGGUGUUAUUUGCUGCUGCUCUAUCAUCCCAGUCUUGUUGCGGAUUUCCAAAUGCGGAUCGGAUCAGCUAAAGCAGGGAGGAUGGAUUGAUUGAUUAUAUAUGAAGAAGGCCAAAUUAACUAAACUAACUCGAUCGGUGAAUGAAUGCUCUCACCGUUGAAUCGAUGCAUGGUCAUGGAUUUGACCCUCCCUCCUCGUCGACUCGAUUAAAACCUAGCUACCGACCUAUAUAUAUAUAUAUAUAUAUAUAUAUACGUCGAGUCGAUUAAAACCUACCUACCUAUAUAUAUGUACCGCCAUGGAUAUCAAAGAACUCUUGUACGACUUCGCAAAGAGUGAUGUGCUUAGAAGCUUGCGCAAGGGGACCGCACAGAAGAUCUACGUGGAGGCACGGAUGGGAGUCGGGGCGACCGCUUUACUCCAAGAGGUGGCGGAAGCGGCGGAGAUCAGGCGUGCGUUCGACGUGGUGAUCAAGGUGGUGCGGCCCGCACCAUUUGGGAACCUGAGGGAGAUGCAGAGGGCGGUGGCGGAGCAGCUGAAUCAUCUACUACCUCCUUCGGUGGUGACGACGGCUGCUGCGUUCGACGCGGCGGACGAAGACGACGACUUCUCGGGUGUGGAAUUCAGCUCAAGAGGCCAGCUUCCGGAGGUAAGAAAGCAGAUCUACCAAGCUGUGAAGGAUCGUAGUAGUGUGCUGCUCGUCCUUUGCAAUAGUAUUGCAGGUGGCAAAUUAAUUGACCCAAAUGAAUUGGGUAUUCCUAUCGUAAGGGGGAGCCGCAAUGCUGUCGUGUGGACCUCUGGGCUGAAUAUUAGCAGGGAAGCCGCGUCAGCGGGUGCGGAUUGGAUCGCAUGGAUUGAGCCACAGAUCAAAGCUACCGCACUUGAUCUUGUGUACAAGGAGGCCGUCGAGAUUGCCCGUUACAUUGACGAGAGGAGCGGGGGGCGCUUGCGGACCACCCCGCAAGCAGUCCUCCGCUGCUUUUGGUAUUGCCUGCUGUUGUUGCGUAGAGCAGCGUUUAAUCAAUCAGUACUAAUGCCCGAUGGUGAUCCGUCCCUGGAAGCUGCUGCCAAGUAUCUUGUGUGCGACGGAAUUUUACGAGGAGAUGAUGAUGCGGCGGCGUGGGAGAUUGGGAGAGCGCUAGCUCCUUCGCUGAUUGGACCCAUCGUAAAUGAUCAACAACUGCAAUAUUGGCAGAGGCUAAUAACCUCUGACACUUGGACGCCGAGAAGGGAAAGGAAAGAAUUGUUGCCCCCGAAAACUUUAUUAAUCGGCUCUACCGCGCAGGGAGCUUGGGUAAAGAUCUCACCUCCAUCAUCACCAUCACCGGAGGAGGAGGAGAAGGACAGUAGUUACCGGUGGAUCUCACUAUGCUCUCCUAUUCCAGAGCCAUGGGAUUUCUUCUUCAAAGAAUAUCGCCGUUCAGUCUUGUCUGAGGUUUCAUCCUUCUUUGGGCAUUUUGAGGAAACACACCAAGCUCUACCGGACGGCUUCUUCGACCAUUUCAGCAACGUUCGAGUGUUGGACCUUCUCGGCUGCAUAGUAAGUCCUAUAAAUCCUUCAUUCCUUCGUCUUCGCAACCUGAGAAUGCUUAGGCUGGAGCGGUGCAAAGUAACAUCUCUUGAUCAUCCUAAUUCUCAUCCCUCAGCAACAGCAACAGAAGGAGGACGAUGGGAAUCAUUACCUCUUUAUGGCUUACAGGUCCUGAAUUUAUACAGCUCAGAUGCUGAUAAGAUUCUUCUAGCAGGGAAAACCUUUGAGCUCAUGCCUAAUCUCCUGGAGCUCGAUCUCACAGAAAACAUCAGCACCGAGUUUUUGUCAAGGAGCUUGUCAAUGGCAAUCAAACUCAAAGUGCUUAUUCUCACUAAUUGCGAGGGGUUAGAAUAUCUAAACUUCAGUCUCCCUGCAACAAUUGAAACAAUCAGCCUCCAAAGGUGCGGAUCGCUAAAAGAGGUGGAACUACUCGACCCUGCAGCAGCUCCUUUGCCCAACCUCACGACCUUCCGCCUCAGCGGCUCUACGCUGAUCGCCAAGCUCUCCCUACAAGGAUGCCGUAAGUUGGAGAACGUAGACCUGCAGGAAUUGACGGGGCUCGAGGUGCUCGAUCUUUCAUGCACCGCAAUAAAAGUGGUGGAUAUCAGCAAACUCCCACAACUGAAGGAAUUAUUUCUCCUCAGAUGCAAGCAACUCCGUAGAGUAGUCUGUCUUCAUGAAACACAAAAGCUAGAUGUGCUGUACUUGGAUAACUAUAGUGGCAGCAGUACUUGCAACGUCGAUGUCGAUCGGUGCCUUGAUUCCUUUCGCAAUCAAACACAAAGUGAGUUAACCAAGGAAACUAAUGAUGCUGAUCAAAGAUUAUUAUUCCACGCUCAUGUGGUCGUGAGGGAUGUUAGGCUCUUCCGGUCACUUCGUUAUGCUUUUUCUAAUCCAAUAUACAAAGGAUCCUGCUUCCAUAUCCACGUCAAGCGUUCUUCAACUGCUAAGAGAGGCACUAAUAUUGGUACUACCACCAGAUCGAAUGCUAUUAUAAUGUCGGCAUUAUGUUAUGCAGAUGUUUUAAAUACUAUGACAGAUCGCCACCGUCGACAUCACCCGUCGCCACCUGCCAUGCCCCUGAAAAAUCACAUAGAGGUUGAUGGAGGUCACGAUUCCCGAAUAGCAGAGGAGGGUGACUUUGGAUACAUAAUGAAAUGGUUUGCUAAUUCUUUAUUCAUUCACGACAACACAUCUAAGUUUACCAUGAGCAUUCAAUUCAGACAUCUCAAAUGUUUCCGCAUUGAGAGGUGCCCUAAUUUGGAGUUUAUCUUCUCUUAUUGGGGUGAAGCUAAGUAUUUGGAGAGCAUAUGGCUCAGCCAACUUCCGAGGUUCAAAGCUUUAUGCGAAGAAGGAUGGAUUGAUGCGCUUUUGAAGCAUAUUUACUUGGAGUUUUGCGCAAGGCUAGAAUAUGUAGUCCCCUCACUGUAUCUACUAUACAACUUGGAAACAAUCAACAUCCGUUAUUGCGGCAAUCUAACGGCAAUAUUCAUAUCUCGUGAUGAUCAUAAAAAAGAUAAAAGAGGAGCUGCUCCACUGCUACUUCCGAAACUGAGGUCCAUCCAUCUACAGGAGCUUCCGAAGCUACAACACAUAUACGAGCCUAACAUUUGUGCACCGUCACUAGAAGAGAUCAAGAUUAUGGGGUGUUUCAAUCUGAAAAAGCUUCCUCUUUUCGGCCACUUAGACGCUCGUUCAAUGAGAGCUGUGGAGAUUAGCUGCGAGAAGGAUUGGUGGGAUAAGCUACAAUGGGAUGGGUUAGAAUCCAACCACCACUCUUUUCUCUUCAACCCCAAACAUUGUCCUUAUCAUAAGAAGCGUAUGAAGGCUAGAUGGUUUUGAAGCACAAAUCUCCUCCAAUGUUGGAAACCAAAACGUACAUGCACGGCAAACCAUCUUCUCUCUAUCUCUAAAUAUUAAUUGUGUACUUGUGUGUAUACAUGCACAUGUGUGCUUGAUCGUGUACAUCCGUAUAUAUGGAUGUUCGCCAAACUCUUUACAUGCUUUUGAGAAAUAAGCUAGCCAUAGUGCAGCAUGUUCUUUCUUUUCUAUUUGCAGGUGUGAGCUUGUACUCUACUACGUGUGUAAAAAUAUUAUAUAUAUAUAUAUAUAUAUAUAUAUAUAUAUAUAUUAGAUAANAUUCCUCGGGACUUGAGUGUGUAACAGAGAAAAUGUCUAAACAUAUAUUUGACUCUUUGAUGACAAUAAAGGACAGUAUUUAUUCAUUUUUCUUAUCUUAUUUUCUACUCUCUAUCACUGGUAGUUUUCUCUUAAGUCGUGACGACCAAUUCAAUUUACAUUAAUCUUUGUUACACAAGGGAUAAGUUACACAAAUUAUUAACACAGCAAAGGUUGUCUAAUAGUUUGCUUGCAUGAUUAAUUAUUUAGGUCUUACGUUAAUAGCUGGAUAGAUUUGAAUUGACUUGGCAAAACUUGUGUAAAUUUGUAGAAUUCUUUUUAUAGAUCCGCAUGCUUUGAUUCUGGAGUUCUCCAAAGAAAAAUAAAUAAAUAAAUAAAUAAAUGAAGUAGCAUUAAUUUCCAAAGUAACACGAAAAGACUUACGGUUCUCUAUUACAUCCUAUGUAUUAGUACUUCACAUUCUUUAUUACGAAUCCGUCUAGGGUAGUAUCGAUGGUAGAUUAAUAGUAUAUUAUUAUCUGUUUUCUAAACUUUGAAUCAAAUACUACUGGAACUACGACCACUAACCCAAACCAUCCAGAGACUGAAAAAUGGAUAGCAAACACUGGUUCUCUAUUAUUGAUAGUAUUCUAACUUUACUCCUCUAUAACAUCGUGUAAGUUAGCAGGUUGUGAUUUUUCGUCCCUGUUAUUAAUGUAUCAUAUAAGUCAUUUUAUUGGCUAAAUAACUUUUUGAAGGUCUUGUUUAAAUCAUUGUUAUUAGAUUAUUUUUUUGGCAUAUUUGUUGAGAAAUUUUGGCAUUUCAUAUCAGAAUUAGUCAGAAUUGAAGUCAGUUUAUGGCAUUUUCUCACUCUAGAAAGAAAAUUGAAAUUAAUAGAUGACUUUGCUUGUUGGCACGUGAUAUGCAGAACUUCUAUUUUGACUUUGAUUUAAGGGUGAAAGAGAAUUCUGUUAAAGUCAAAACGGCGAAAAAUAGAUCCAAAAAAUAAUUUAAUGCAAAAAACGAAAAGAUAAAGCGGAAAGAACACACCGAUAUUUACGUGGUUCGGCCAACGGCCUACGUCCACAGACAAAGACAGAGCAAAUACUUUAUUAAUACCAAAAAGACGGAGUACAAGAGAAUCUCAUAAAGAUUAAAAUUUAAUUAGAUCCAAGACGCCGAAAUCCACAUACGUCGAAACGAGUCCAAAUAGCUUCUCUCCCUCUAUCCGUAUGGAACCAAAUUGCCUUAAUUAGCAUACGGCUGCUCCCAAGCCUUAAUUAGCAUACGGCUACUCCCAGAGUCAAGGCCCUACGGAAUUAGCACAGGUCUAAUUAGCUAAUUAGCGAUGCGGCGUCAUUAGAGGUUGCUUCUAAUUAGAGCACGAUUCUCUCUGCCAAUGCAAAGUGCACCGGCUAGCGUUUCUUCCUCCGUACGGACGGACCACCAAUAACUUAAUUAAUUUUUGUGGCUCUUAAUUUGGUCGCCCUUAAUUAAUUUGGUCGUAGCACAUAUUUAUAAUACGUGUCUCUUGAGUAGAGUCUAAUUCUAAUUCAAUUAGAAUUAUACUCCUAAUUAUAAUCCAUAUAUGCCGAAUUAAAUCUAAAUAAUAUCUAAUCCCAAUUAGAUUAGGAUUUAUCCUCAAUUUAGAUAACUACAAAUCUAAACCAAAUAUAACAAUCUCCACCUUGAUUUAAUUUGUAGUUUAGCCGCUUUUAUGUCGAGAUCGUCACAAACUUCACCUUGAAUUUAAUUUGCCUCAAUGCUCCUGUCACGCCCCGGGGCCGAUUUUAAAAGCCUUUUGAAAACAGAGUUGCGAAAAACGUGCCAUUUUUUUUUUCAAUCUGGCCCACGCGACGUACAGAUCCGCCACAAAUACAAAAUUUUCCUGUCCACUCGGACAGAGUCUCCUUUAUAUUUGCACGGCGUACCAGCUAUACAACAGGAUCUCAACCACAACCUACAUUUACCAAUCAGCAAUCAGUUCAUGACAUGCAUUCCCAUACAGCUAACGAUCCUUAGAAUGAUGCAUGCCUCUAAACACUCCUUAGGCGCUGGAUGAUGCAAUGCACAACACAACAAACAUCUUAUUUAAAAGUGCUCCCCACCCGGAAGCUUUAUUUUUUUGAAAUGUACUUCAUUCACAAAACCAUUCGAAAAUCCUUUUUAAAACGGUUUCCUACACGGAAACUCUAUUUUAAAAACCGACUACCUCGAGGGGUAGAAAACCACGAUUUCAUAAAUACAAGAAAAUCAAAACUCCAAAAUUCCAAGACCACAGAUCUAAAUAUCCAAUCUUAUGCAUAGUAGAAAACCAGUAUAACAGUUCACAACCAUUCACGCAUACAUAAGAUCGUCUAACUGAACCAUUUAUUAAGAAAACUACUAAGUGCGGGAAAGAAGUAAUCAGGGUGACGGUCGCUACUGCCGUCUAGCUAGAUCGUCCUCUCGACGUGCCCAAUACCAACUCCACGUCCGAAACACCUGAAGAAAUGGGGGGUGAGAAACCGCAACCAUGGUUUCUCAGUGGUACAAUAGAGCCACGAAGGCAAGCCGUAAUCACCGGAAACCAAAGAAAAUAGAUAAACAAAUAUAGAUGCUGAUAUGAAAAGUCUACAGUAGCUACAACAGAUAAAUAAGAAGCAAUAAACAAACCUGCUACUGUAUAGAUAACAAUGCAAAGAAUGCCUCAAAGUACUGAACAGAAACUGUACCCAAUCUGUGCCUGCUGUAUUGGUCCGCAGACCUCAAGCGCUGCCUGUCACUAACUGCACCGACCUGAUCCAUCCGCCCCACAGGACGACCCAUCCGGAUAAGUACACCUCCGAUCGUUGGCCAAACCGAUCCGGUGUCAUGAAUACCCCCAAGUGCCGUGACUAAGUCAUGCUGGUAUGCUCAAACAAAAACAAACCCGGCUAAAGCCGGUGCCUAAGCCGAAGCCAACAACGAGGGCGUACAACGCCGAACUGAAAUAGAUACUAGGGCGUACAACGCCGAACCUCGAUCAACCAGAUCGAAACACACGAUAAGAGAGUCGAUGUGUUGCCUGGACCCAAGGUCCACGGAGAUGCAAUGUACAACUACAAGCCUGCUCUACAUGUCUAUCCACAACUAUACAAAUGCAAUCAAUGAAAUACGAUAACCAAACAACUGACAUGUAGAGAUUACGAUACAGAAUGAAAGAAUAGAGGAAGGGUAAAACGGUCUCACCGACUACUAGCUCGAAGCACCCACCUGUCACUGUCGCGUCGAAAACCCGGGGUGCGCACAAUCAAUAACCGGACCUACGAAGAUCCACUAGGUCAGAACUAUCCCACAAAACCCAAAUAUACAACUCACAAACCCCCACACAGGAUCCCCGUAAUCGGUUUCCCAAAACCGAUUACCGUAACUCACCGAAAGUCCCGAAAACCACACCGGGACGCCGUCGGGACCCACUAAGUGUCCCGAACUCACCGACUCGUACAACGAGUCACCCGCUGCCCCAAAACAUUCCAAUUUGGAUGCCUUGGCAGCGAACACAAGGUCACACAACAAUACGAUCAUCGCCGGAUAAUCGUACGAAUCCGGGUUCCCAGAAGUGUCUAUUUCGACACCGGAACCCUCCGUCGCUCACCCAUCAUCACCGAACCCACUAAAUGACGAUAGUGAUAAGCCAACAAGGCUUAGCUACAACACAUAGAGCAAACAAACACCGUCGGAAAGGAUCCGAACCAAAAUCGCAUUCUUUCGGCGAAUUUCGCCGAAAAACGCACCGAAAUCGACUUUUCGAUUUCCGCAGGAGCAAACGGAUCAUGGACAAUCAGUUCAGGAGUCAAACACACUCACACACACUGCCCACAGUAGCCACACAAUGCACAAUUACAUAAAAGACCCUCUAAUUGCAUAAAAUCCCAUUAUUUUAUGUAAUUUGAGCGAUCAAGUGGUUCGUUCACGCAAAUCGAAAUUCCAAAGUCCGCAGAGACACGUACUAACAGGUCUCGACGUACCAGAGGCCGUGCUCACGAUCCGGAGCACAGCGGCUCGCUGUGGGAAGCGCGGGAGCAACCCGAAGGUUCAGCGAACAGCGCGCAGUCAAGGAAGAUCGCGCCGAACAGGACUUACCGGACACUUCUGAUCCAAGGAAAGGUGAGCACUGUGAUCAGCACUGACUAGCGGUCACCGUGCUCACCUCCGGAGGCAUCGGAACAAUCUCGGAUCGGCGAAAAAGCAAGCACAACACAGAACAGCAGCCAAAGAAAGGCUCCACAGGGUCGACACCGCAAAAACAGCGGAAUGGAGUCUCCCCGACAGAAACUAAGGUGAGCACGAUGAUCAGCAAUUAGCUACGAUCAUCGUGCUCCCUUCCAUACAGAUCGGGGAAGCUCGAGAAGCCCAGAACAACAAACAGCCCAACUAAGCCCUAUUUCAGGCUUGGCCGGAGCAACCUUGCUCCGGCCGGCCUCCGGCGGCACAGCGGCGCGCGCGGGGGCCAGGGGCGGACGCGGGGGAGGUGAGGAACACAGUGCUCAACUCGGUUGGCGACAGGAAGCGGCGGCGGCGCCGGCGGGGCAAGAUGAGCCCGCACGGGCUAGGGCACGGGUUCCGCGGCAAUGGCGGCCACGGCGGCGGUCGGGGCCGGUCGGGGACGGCGGAGGAGGGUUGCAGGAGGUAGGGGGAGGGCGGCACAGGUGGCUCAGGGCGGCGGCGGCGCCAGGAAAGGGGCUGCACACGGCUUCGGCUCGGGCUCGGGUUGGAGGGCUGCAGGCGGCUCGCCCGGCGGCAGCGGCGCUCAGGGCGGCUCGGGGCAGAGGCGGCAGACUGCCUGAGGUUGGGGAGGUGCCACAGGGGCGGCCCAGGGCUGCGGCGACGCGAGGAAGAGAUCGCAACAGGUCUCGGCCUGGGCUCGGGCUGGGCGGCUGCAGCCGGCCGAGGCGGCGGCGGCGGCGCGGUGGGGCGGCGGCGACCGGCGGUAAGGGGUGUCGAGGCUCCGUGGACGUCGGCGGGAGGGAUUCCAGGCGGCGGCGGCGCAGGAGGGAGGUCGCGAGUGGGUCUCGGCCAGGGCUCGGCUUGGGCUGGCAGAUGUGGCCCGGGGCAGCAGCGGCGGCGCAGGCGACGGCGGCGGUCGGCGGGGAUGAUCGCCGGAGCACGGGGCGACACCGAGGGAGGGUCCGAAGGUGGCGGCAGUCUCGGGUCUCCUCACAACCCGAGAGGAGAGAGGGAGAACGAAAGAAAGGGAGAGAGAGAGAAGUGGUGGCUGCGGCGGUGGUUGGCCGGCCGGGGCUCAGUCGGCGGCGGCCUGGGCGCGCGCAGCAGGUGCAGGGGAAGGAGAGGGAGGCGGCUGGGUGGUUGGCUAGGGCUAGGUUAGGGUUAGGUGGAACAAAACCCUAAAGAGCAACUAUAUAUACAAGGUACAACUUGCAAGAAAGCCCCUCAAACAUCAGUAAUUUGUACCGAGUCCCUCGCAGCACGACUAAAACGCACGAAUACCCCUCCACGUGCGAUCCCACGCGAAACGGUACAUAAAAUAUCGCGACUUUUGUGAAAAUACCGUUUUGCCACUACUGACCUCUCCUCGAUCAACGCGUAAUCUCCGCAGAUCCGUCCGUCAGAUUCGCGAACGGAUCAUACCAGUACGAUCAACACGACGGAGACAACAAAGCUGCGAUUUCGUUUCGGCUUGAUCGCCCACGGAUUCACGACAAAAUCCAACCUUCUUCCAGCAGAAGAAAUCACACACAUAAAUACAUAUAGAAUAUAUAUUUUUGGAUUUUCUCGAAAUCCGUGCGUCAAACUCAAAAUCCGUCAGCGCCACUGGUUCCAGAACAGCUGAACCGGUCGAAACGAGCUAUUGGACUGCUAUGAACGGAGUCCGGUACGAGCCAGAAGCCAACUUCCCACCGCGGCUUCUCCGGAAAAUCGAGUUACUAUUCACUUUAAGUGAAACUUGGAAAUCGCGUAGAAUUUUCGUUUUAACUCGUUUUCGCCCGAAACUUGACGAGUGCUUUUGUAAUUAAAUUACACACAAAAAUAUUGUCAACUGAGAGUUUAACUACACUUCAAAAAUCUCAGUUCGUACAGCUCCUUAACGCUCCAUACUCCGUCUUCUCCAAACGCCCCAUAGGGCCUCAAAUGCUGCUAACUACAUUCAAGUUCAAACAAUACUUGAACUUGGUAAUCGUAAGAGACUUAGUAAGCAUAUCCGCCGGAUUGUUCUCAGUACCAAUUUUCUUAACAGUCACUGUGCGUUUCCCAAUCACAUUCCGAACAAAGUGAAACUUUACAUCGAUGUGCUUUGUCCUCUCAUGAAACAUUUGAUCUUUCGACAAAUGAAUAGCACUUUGAUUGUCUGAAUAAAUAAUCGUUGGAUCCCAAUAAGAAGUAAGCUCUCCAAAUAAGUCUCUUAACCACAUAGCUUCCUUCACACCCUCUGUUAUAGUAAUAUAUUCCGCCUCCGUCGUAGACAAGGCGACAAUAGGUUGUAAUGAAGCUUUCCAACUAACUGCACAUCCGCCAAUAGAGAAUACAUAACCUGAAAGUGAUCUCCUCCUAUCCAAAUCACCUGCAAAAUCCGAAUCAUUAUAUAUGAGUUAGGUGAAGCUAUCCUGGUUGAGAAUCUCAUCUAAUUAUGUGUACAAUUUUGAGGUAAAAGUCUACAUGCCUAGCAUUGUAGCUUCUGCAAUUGUAAUGUAAAAGAGUUAAAAUAGGAAAAGUGCACCUUGUGCAUAUGCGUUCGUAUAAAAGAUUCCUUAUAUAGUAGAGGUAUAUACAUGUACUAAUUAAUCAACUUUAGGACAAAGAUGCAAGGAAUUUCGAGCCGUACACCUUUAAUUAAUUUGCUUUAGAAUUGGUUCCCUCUUAAAGUGGCAAGUAAAGAAUCAAAGUUUCCUAGCUUGAAUUUCUGAUUUCACCAAGUGGCAAGCCAAAUUAUAGACCAUUGAAGUCUGUCUGUCUCACCAAAAGUGGAGUGGAGAGUGAAUUCAUUUUUAGUAUAAAUGUUCACUUCUGUUGUUUGGCUCACCUCAUAUAACUUCAUUUUCAGUCGAUGCUUAAACUUUUCAAAACUCCGUAAUUGACUUCAGACUACUUUGGGCCGAAAUCAGUUGCGAAAAACAAAAGUGAGGAAAAAAAAUAAAAUAUUAAGUAUGGAAACUUUAGCUUUUAUGUCAUUAACUUUGUAAUGCCCCCAAUAGUCUCAUAUCGAAUGGAAUACUAACUCUGAUCAGUUUAUAUGAGGCCUAUAUGUUAGUAAUAAUAACUGGACUUAAACAUUUUGGGCCGGUGGUUUGAAUCGAACGAGUUAUUGUUGCUAGCGGAUUGGACCGUUACAAACUUUCUGCCAAACACAUAGCAAAACUCGAGAAAAAAAAUUAUUUUGAGAUUCUAGACUAUAUCCAGCAUAGGACUUCCGACUAAUAUUUGGCUUUAAUACCAAUUACAACGGCCCAACCCGCUAGCAAUAAUAACUCGUUGAACCCAAACUACUGACCCAAAAUACUUAAGUCCAAUUAUUAUUACUAGCAUGUAUGUCUUAUAUAUUCUAAUCCGAAUAAGUUUCCCACCUGAUGUGGGACUAGGACGUUACAGAAAAUAACUAAGUUUUAAUUUUAUUUUAAAUUUUUAUAAAACAAAUUAUGUUUCUCAAAAUUAAUUUACUAUUUUUUUAAAAAAAUAAAAUUAUCAGCAUGAAACGCAUGGGUCAGCAACCAAUUUAUUUUGAAAUUAAUUAGUCAAAUACUAUAUAAAUCAAAGAAUCGCCAACUCAACACCAUUAGUUUGCUUUAAAAUGAUUUUUUUUUUUUUCAAAAUUGCACGUAUAGAAUGAUACUUUCAUACCCAAAAAUAUAAUUUGUCUAGAGAGUUAAAAACAGGAAAUAAAUUUGGUAGGUAAUUACUAAAUCUAUCUCCAGAUCCAUCUCUUGUUUACUUGCUUUAGAAUUUGUUCCUUUCCAACAUAACAAGUAAGGAAUCAGACUCUUUUUUUCUUUUCUUUUUAACUCCUACCUGCCUAUAAAUACAUUCUAUUCUAGUUGUUCCCUUAGCAAGUUGAAAGCCUUAUACUCUCAUAUGGCAAGGAAGACCUAUACUAUGGAUUUGCCGAUACCGAGCUGAGUGAAUGAGCGCAUGAAGGAAUGUUUUGGAAAGCGGUAGGAAGAUACGGUGUUCGAUACUCGCCUAAAUGGACACAACCAGCCAUUUGGAUCUGUCUGGUGUUUUUUCUCCUUAACGCACAAAUAGGCAUUUAGUCAUUCGGAUUCUAUCUGGACUCUUCCUCCUUGACGCACAAAUAGACAUUUAGUCAUUCAGGUAUGCAUAUAUUUAAUUUCUUACAUAUUCUUACCACUUAUUGUUUGUUGUUUCGUUAUUUUUCUGAUUUUGUUAUUGGUUAUUGCAACUGAGGUUUAAGGCUUCUUUUUAUUCAAUAGGGAUUAAGUUUCUUAGAUAAUACAAUUAAUCGACUGUAAAAAAGAAACUCCUAACAAUAUAAGAUAACUAUUCAUUAAAAUCAAGCUUAGAAGGAAGGAAAUGAUAUUCUAAUGUGAUAUGUAAUUAAGAGAAUUUAUUAUGAUUAUAUGCCUGAACACAUUAUAUAUAAUAUCUAUUGGAUUUCGAAGGGAGUCAACACUCUAUUGCUUUAUUUUAGUUUUCCUUCGCAUUCUUUUAUGGCCUAAUUGUAAUCGCCAUUUACUUGUUCAUCCAAACUCACAACUCUUAAAACUUAGAUGAAAACUAUGCUAUAUGGUUUAUGAAACAAUAUAUAAUAGUGUUUUUUUAACAUAGCUUUCUUUUUUUCAACUAUUUGAUACUUUAGCAAUAGUUUUAAAAUCUAUAAUUUUUCAUGUCUAAACUAUGUAGGGUUCUAUAUAACCUUUGAGUGUGCGUGUGUGUGUUUGUGCAAGGAAAAAUUCUAGAAUGCAACAGGUAUAUUGAUGACGUGGCGUAACAAGCCAAUCAAAUAUCUCCUUUUAGAAAUAUAUGUUCCAUCAUAAUUAUAAAAAAAUAUUUUUAUUGUACUUUUAUUUGAAAAGAAGAAAUGUGAUUGGCUUGUUAUUGAUGACGUGGUGCAAGUGUGACAGUGUAGAAUUCCCCAUGUGAGAGAGAGAGAGAGAGAGAGAGGGAGGUAGCUGCUUCGUUUAAUUUGUUUUUAAAAAUGCGUCCAGCUAGAAAUGCAAAAUAAUUAGGCUUCGUUCAGUUUGGAUAUAAAUAAAAAUGACUUAUUUCAAAAAUAAAUAUAAAUUUAGAUAUAAAUAAGAAACUAGACCAAUUUUACAUUUAGAUGAAAAUUGGUUGUUUUUAAAAAUAAGAAAAAUUACGUUUGGAUAGAGAAAUAGAAUAAGAAAAAUAGUAAGUAGUUAUAAUGUCACGCCCCGGGGCCGAUUUUAAAAGCCAUUUUGAAAACAGAGUUGCGGAAAACGUGCCAUUUUUUAUUUUUUUUUUCAACCUGGCCCACGCGACGUACAGACCCGCCACAAAUACAAAGAUCCUCUGUCCACUCGGACAGAGUCUCCUUUGUAUUUGCACGGCGUACCAGCUAUACAACAGGAUCUCAACCACAACCUACAUUUACCAAUCAACAACCAAAGUAUGAUAUGCANUGGCUUCUCCGGAAAAUCGAGUUACUAUUCACUUUAAGUGAAACUUGGAAAUCGCGUAGAAUUUCCGUUUUAACUCGAUUUCGCCCGAAACUUGACGAGUGCUUUUGUAAUUAAAUUACACACAAAAACAUCGUCAACUGAGAGUUUAACUACACUGCAAAAAUAUCAGUCCUCACAUAUAAAUAGAAAAAUGAUAUUAUCCCUCUUGUUAUAUUUGAAUUUAAAUUUUUAAAUUUUAAAUUUUUAUUGUUAAAGUUAAAAUUUUAACUUUUAAAUUUUAAAAUCUGAAAUUAAAAUUUAAAGUUAAACUCUCUUAUUUUAAAUUUCAAAAUUUUAAAAUUUAAAUUUUAAAUUUUAAAUUUUAACAUUUAAAUUUUAAAUUUUAAAUUUUGAAUUUUAAAAUUUAAGAUCUAGUUUAAAUUUAAAAAUAUAAAAUAUCAAAAUUUAAAUUUAAAAAAUAUAAAAAUAUCAAAUUUAAAUUUAAAAUUUAGAAUUUAAAAUUAUAACUUUUAUUUUUAACAUUACAAAUUAUUAAUUUUAAAAAUUUAAAAUUAAAAUUAAAAUUAAAAUUUUUAAUUUUUAAAUUUAAAAAAAAAAAUAGGGGUGGGAACCAGCAGUUCCCACCCCUGUUUCACCUGAGGGUGGGAACAAGCAAUUCCCAUCUUUAAUUAGUAUAUAUUUGUGUUUGGGUACGAAAGGGGAUAAGAGCUUAUUCCUCCUCUUGUACCCAGUCCGGCUCGUAGUAGGGUUCAAAAUUGAAAACCUCGAAUACCAGCCAUCAACUGGCAUCAAGCUUUUAGUCAAUUACGCUAGAUAUAUACAAUCGACAGCACCGGAUUACAUUUUAAUGCUUAAGCACAAUUAGAGCUUCAUAGAUGAUUUGAAUUAAUUUGCAUGAUUUGAGAAGAUUUCAUAAGUAUAAACAAAUCUGAUAUUUUGGGAUUGGAUUUACCAUAAUUUUUGUUCUUUUACAUUUAAGAAAAGUAAUCUAACCUUAAAAAAAAACUCUUUGUAAUUUUUUUAUAAACCACGUGACUAAGGAGAAAUUGCAAUCAAAGGCAUUUCACGCCCCAAAUAAACUAACUUAAAAAUCACAAAAUGUGAUUCUAUUUUGUUUAGGCACUAGAAAGAGUAAAUAUUUAAGCCAUUUUUUAAACAGGCCCUUAACUUGUAGUUUUCUAGCUAUUUAAAUCCGCUUAACUUAUGAAUUUUUUAAAAUUAAGUUAUUUUAGACUGAAAAUUAGAGUAUUUUAUCAAAUUUAUUAGCAAUUUCACCAAAUCUAAUGACUUUAAUUAAUUUUAAGCAUAGAGGUGAGAGGGUCUCCUUACAUUUUUACUUUUAUUUAUCUAUAAUUAAUAAAAUCAGAAGCCGAAGCUUUGGAUUAUUUUUAUCAAAUGGCAAGCCAAAAUAUAUAGUUGAUGCAUGACAACCUUAUUUACGACAAUUACAUUAUUUAUAACUAAAAGAAUUUUAGAUUAUUAAGCAAUCAGUGUAUUUAUCUAUAACUACAUCGAUCUAAUGUAUAAUCUUAGCCAAUCUUAUUUUUUUAAAAAAAAAAUUAUCUAUGCAAAUAAUUACGCUUUAGAUUUUUUUUAUAAAUUUUUAUAAAUCUAUUUUUUUAAAUUAGCUUUUUAUUUUUUUCAAAAAAAAAAGAUUUUAAAAAAUAUUCAUGUGGAACGCGUGGGUUAACGGCAAGGUCAACGACUAGUUUAUUUUGAAAUUAAUCAACCCGAGAAUACGGAAGCAAAGAAUUUCCAAUUCUACAAUUUUGAUUUGCUUUAAAAUGAGUUCUAUUCUAAAGUGGCAAGCAAAGAAUUAUACUUUUGUAGUUGAAACUUCUGCUUUCGCUAAGCGACAUGCCAAAUUGUUGACAUGUGGAAAUCUUACUAUGACAAUUAAUGUUUUUAUAAUUAAAAUAAGUUUAGACUAUUGUGGAAAGAGUUAAAAAUAGAAAAGAAAUUCAAGUAUCCAAUCAGUAUAUUAAUUUAUAGAUUAAUGACUAGUUUAGUUAGAAAUUGACCUAUGUCUCUAAUUUUUGUUAAAAUGGGUUCCUUACUAAAGUAGUGAGUAACGAAAUUAUGCACAUGCGAUGACAUUUCUAUGAUUUGAAAUGGUUCUAUAUAGGAGAUAUAAUAGGACUAAACCUUUUAAUCUGAUUAAAGUAUUUUGAACGGUGGCUUGGUUUAAAAAGUUAAGACAGUUAAGCGUGUUAGGAUUAGACUAGUUCUAGGAUUGAUGACCCCUUGGAAAGCGAGGCAUCACUUUUUUUUUAGGAGAAACACGCCCUAAGGUGAAUUUAUUUAGCAAUCGGUAGGUACAACUUGAGAGAAUUCAUCUACAGAGGACCAAAAAGACAGUUUGUUGCUAGAGAGCCCCCAGUAGGCCAAACGAUCUGCAACUACAAUAUUUUUAGAAUAUCUUGAAGACCGUCCAUAGCUAAAUUGCUUGGAGCUUUCAAGAAAAUUUUGAAGAUCCGUGAUUCUUGUUCGAGCUUCAUCUGUUAGCGAAUCUGAAUGAUAGCUCCUAAAAUGCAAGGCUUUGAUGAUGGGUGCUGAAUCUGAGUAGAUAUGAAAAGUUUCUCCCGGAUACCUUUGCAACAAAAGAUUUGUCGCUCGGGAAAUUGCUCCAAUUUUCGCUGAGCAGGCAUCAUGGACAUCCUUCAGUACAUCAGAUAUGCACAUAAUGAUUUCAUGCUGAUUGGCAAUCAGGCAUCCUACACCACCUGUAGUACCACCUUUCCAACUCCCAUCCACCCAUACUUGUAAGGAAAAGGUCGCAGGUUCUUGAAUCAGAGUUGGGUCCUGUAUGCUAAUCCUCAUCAUGUUCUCUUUAGAAUAUAAGGUCGUCCAGCUGCGAGCCCGUGAAAUGAUGGCAGUGAUGUUGAAAUUUUUUCCUUCAAAAAUCAUCUCAUUUCUUCCUUUCCAUAAGCUCCAUAAUAGAUGAACACAGAAAGCCCUAUGAGUCGCCAUGUCUUUAUUAGUUAGGAUAAAGAAAAUCUAAAAGGACGGAGGCCUAUCCGCAUUAUCAAUUAGAAGGCCUAUACUGGAUGCGAACCAGACAUGUCGUGUUUGCUCACAAUUAAAAAAUAAAUGUACCAACGUCUCAGGCUCUUGUAGGCAAAACGGGUAGAGUCCAUUAAAGUUAGGUAGUCUCGAGGCUAGUGCGGCUCCAACUGGUAACGUGUCUGCUACUAGUCUCCAGAAAAAUACUUUAGCUCGAGGCAUCACAUUUUUUAUGCCCCAAACUUUUCCCCAGAUAGUAUGCUGGUUUUCAUGUGGCUGAUGCAAUUAGCUAUGAUCCAGACCAUCGUUUAAAUGAUUGAUAGCGGAUCGCAGGGUGAAGCGGCUAGAUUCGGAGAAUUUCCAUCGUAGUUGUUCAGAAUUUUGGACCACAGCGUUCGCCAUGAAAUUACGGAUUUGUAACAUAGAGCGCCAAAUAGGUGAAACUACAAGUCUGUUUUGAGCCGACCAGAAGCUGAGAUUGUUAGCCCGAUUGUACUUGUUCGCCAGAACCUGUGCCCAUAAUGAUGUUGGCCUUGUGAGGAGCGACCACACCAAUUUGCAUACUAGGGCGCGAUUAAGCGUUGACAGGGAUGGUAUACCAAUCCCCCCGAGUUCCCUGUUUGUAGUUAGUUUUGUCCAUGCCUUUGGGUAAUAAUGGUGACCUCCUGGCUUGAAGCCCCACCAGAAAUCUCGAAUAAUUUUUUCCAUUUGGGGAAGAAAUUUUGCAGGAAGUAGAAUGAAACAAAUAGAGUAUCGAGGUACCGCUAGGAGCACCGAUUGUAUAAGAGUGAGACGCCCCGCAUGCGAUAGAUUUCUAGCUUUCCAUCCAGCUAAUCUGCUUUGUAGUUUAUCAAUGAUGAAACUGAAGGUGUUGGUUAGGGACCAUUCCAAGCAUCACACCUGCUGCAAUUUAGUUUAUGGCCAUUAUAUUUUUAUAAUUAAAAAUGUUUAAACUACAGUGGAAAGAGUUAAAAAUAGAAAAUACAUUUGGACUGGGAAUCAACAGAGUCUUAUCCAUCCAUCUUUAAUUAAAUUUUCUUUGAAAAUAAUUAGGUUUUAAGGUUAUUAUGAUUUUUUAUAAAAUAAAUUAGUUGUCUUAAAAUUAAUUUACUAUUUAUUAAAAAAAAAGAAAUAUCAGUGUGCAACUAAGGGUUUAGCAACUAAUUUAUUUUAAAAUUAAUUGAUCCAAAAUUACAAAUCAAAGAAUCCCCAACUCUACAUCUUUAGUUUGCUUUAAAAUAGAUUUUUUUUUUUUCCAAAGUGGCAAAUAAAGAAUGAUACUUCUAUAGGUAAAGUUUUUACUUUCGGUCAACAGCACGCCAGAUUAUUUACGUAUGUGACAAUCCUUUUUAAGACAAUAAUUUUAUUUGUAUAAACCAUUAAAACUAGAAAAUAAAUUUUGGUAUGCAAUUAGUAAAUCUAUCUGUAGUUGCAUCUUAAAAAAAUUUGCUUGCUUUAAAAUAUAUUCCUUUCCAACAUAGCAAGUAAAGAGUUAGACUUUAUUUCUCACAUAUACUUGCUUAUUAAUACAUUACUUUCUAAUUGUUUUGUUCAGCAAGUUGAAAGCCAUUUGGAUCUCUCUGCGGCUCUUUAAUUUCUCAUUUAAUCAUUCGGGUACGCACACAUUUAAUUUCUUGCAUUAUUCUUAUUACUUAUCAUUUGAAUUUUGUUUCGUUAUUUUUCUGAUUUUAUUAUUGGUUAUUAUAAUUGAGAUUUAAGGCUUCUUUUUAUUCAAUAGGGAUUAAGCCCCUUAAAUAACACUAGUGUAGUAACUCGCGCGAUGCGGCGAAUAAAUAAUAGAAGAAAAAAUAAAAAAUAUUGAAGAAGAAGAAGAAAGGAGUUUGGAAAAUAAAAAAUUCAAGUGUGUUUUAUUUUUUGGGUAGGAAAAUGUAUGAAUUGAACUAACCAAUAUAAGUAUUGAAAAUUGAUACCUGCCGAAUCACCAUUUAAAGAAAAAACCUACAAAGGUCGUAUGAAGAUGGAGAUGAUAAUGUUGCGAUCAUGACAACGAUGGCGAUGAAAAUAUCAUAGAAGUUUGUAUGAUUUUGCACCCUUUUGGGCAUGGAAUGGUCAGAACUUGCGAGCCAGAACUGCCACAUUAAUUAUGAAAUCAAAACUAACAUCUAAAUUAAUCAAAAUAAUGCACAUAAAUCAAAUACUUGAUUGAUACAACCACUAUAUAAAAAAUAAUUAGGGCUUGGAGGACUCUCUUGUUCUUCCCCAAUCUUUAGAUAUGAAAAUAGUAACUAUUCAUCUCUCCUCUUUUAAUUUUGAAUGUUAGGAAUUGUUUGAGGGAGAAGCAAGAACUAAUAUUGAAGAGGAAAAACUCAGUAACGUAUAAAUUAAAAGCACAUUGAUUACAUAUUAUUGAAUAGAGAUGAGGGGAGGGAAAAAGCCAUGAGUAAAGAUCAAUUCAAAAAAAAGGUUAGUGAGGGUGGAGGAAAACUUGCCACGUGGCAAAAAGAACUAAUAUUGAAGAGGAAAAACUCAGUAACGUAUAAAUUAAAAGCACAUUGAUUACAUGUCAUUGAAUAGAGAUGAGGGAAGGGGAAAAGCCAUGAGUAAAGAUCAAUUCAAAAAAAAGGUUAUUGAGGGUGGAGGAAAACUUGCCACGUGGCAAAAAGAACUAAUAUUGAAGAGGAAAAACUCAGUAACGUAUAAAUUAAAAGCACAUUGAUUACAUGUCAUUGAAUAGAGAUGAGGGAAGGGGAAAAGCCAUGAGUAAAGAUCAAUUCAAAAAAAAGGUUAUUGAGGGUGGAGGAAAACUUGCCACGUGGCAAAAUCAUUGAGAAUUCAUAUAGAUAAAUAGAUGAUUACAUGACUGCAAACAGAACAAACUUCUAAUAUUAUAAGGUAAUUAUUCAAAUAUUAAAUCAAGCUUCGAAGGAAAGGAAAUAUAUAACAUUCUAAUAUGGCAUUUAAUUGAGAGGAUUUGUGGUGAUUAUAUGACUAAACACAAAUAAUAUAUAAUAUCUAUUGGAUUUCGAAGAGAGUCAACAUUUUGUUUCUUUAUUUUAGUUUUCCUUUGUACUUUUUUAUUGCCUAUUUUGUAAUCGCCAUUUAGUUGUUCAAUCAAACUCGAACUCUUAUUAAAACCCAAAUGAGAACCAUGGCGUUUAUGAAACAAAUAUAGCUGAUUUUUUAAACUAUUUGAUAUUUUAGCAAUAAUUUUAAAAUCGAUAAAUUUUGAUGUAUAAACUAUGUAGGGUCUUUUUUUUUUUUUUUUUUGGCGAUAGAAAAUACCAAAUACUAAAUGACCAAAUACCAAAUAACCAAACAACUAGUAGGGGUAAGCUUAACAUUCAAUUUAAGGAUUAAUUUCAUGAGUACCCCUCUACGCAUAUUUAAUUACAUACAAACCCUCCAAAAAUUAUCAAUAUUAAAAAUACUUGUUUAAUUUUCAUAAACGGAAACGGAAUGACUCAUUACCUCAUUCUAUUUGAUUCGCCGCCUUAAUCAGAAUUGAAAUGAACUAUUUUUAUUGUCAGUAUUUAAUUGGUUUAGUUAAAUUUCAGAAAUGGAAUCAAAUUAAUAUAUCAAAUUUAUCUUUAUAAUACAUUUUAAUUACUUUUCACGAUUUUGAAUACUCUAUUUAGAAUAUAAAUGAGUAACUUAUAAAAUAAUUAAUGAAAAGUAAGACAAUUUUAUAUUUUAUAUUAUUUAUAUGAAUAAACAAUUUAUUAUUAUUUUUUAUUGUAAUAAUUAUAUGGUAACAUAUAAAUCAUAAAAUUUUAUUUGAUUCUAAUAAGUACAAUAGUUUACAAAACAUAAUCAUUUUGUCAAAAAAAAAAAAGGGGGAAAGAGAAGUCAUAUUUUCAAGAUCAAUAUUAUAGUAAACUAAAAUUAUUGAUAACAAUAUAAAAUUACCCAAAAUAAUAUAUCAUUAUUCCAAACAGUCUAAAAAAAAUUAUUAUUAAAAUUGUAAAUAAAAUUACCCAAAACUAUGAUCUAGUAAAUAAAAAUAAAUUUUUAAAUAUUUCUGCUAGACCCAUCGGAAUUUGGAUUGACAAAAUAAUAUAAAAUUGAGUUCACAACUCAAAACAUAAAAUUUUAUAAUUUAAAUUCAAACUAAAAAUUAAAUAUUAAAAAUUUACAUCAAAAUUUUUAAAUGAUGUCAAAAUUUUAAAUAUANCAAAAUAUAAAACUAAAUUUUGAUUUAUUCAAAUUCAAACUUAAAAUUAUAAUUUCAAUUUCAAUUUGAAUCCAUAAAAUUUAAUUUAAAUUUUAAAUAAAAGUUUAAAUUUUAAAUUAAAUUAAAAUUCAUAAAUUAGAUCCAAAAUGCUUGAUUGAAUUUAAUUUUUAAUUCAAGUUCAAAUUAAAAUUAAAAUUUAUAAAUUUAAUUUCUAACUUUAAACUUAUAUUUUAUUACUAAAUAAGGUUAAAAAAAUAAAUUUAAUCCGAACAAACAUCCAUUCCGUCCGGAUUCAACUUCCAAACCGGCCAACUAGGCCGGAAUGGGAAAAAGGGCUAAUCCUGCAUUAAUUCCUAUUCCGAUUUCUAGGUGAAAAAUAGAUGAACUAAACACACCCAUAAAUUAAAUCAAAAGUAAAAAAUUAUAUGUUAAUAAACUAUUUUAAGGGGUAAAUACAUCUUUUGUGUAUUCUACUGAAGCAAAUUUUACCAAAUGGAGAUUUAUGAUGUAAUUUAUAGAUUUAUAGGGGUAAUAUUAAUAUUGACAAUUUUGAAGAGAUAUCUUUGAUAUUUUUAAAAUUUAGACAGACACGUCUGAAAUUGCUCCUAAAAAAAAAAAAAAAAAAAAAAAAAAAAAAUCUAGAAGUUGAAAUAUGAAAAUUUUCCUUGUAAAGUUUAAUAUCAAUAUAAAUAAUUUUAAAGGUGUGUGAAAAAGUUUUAAAAAAUUUUACACAAUGUGAAAAAAUUUGUAUUUAGUAAUAGAGAAUCUGAAAGGCUACGAAGGUUUAAAUUUGGAUCUAUUUAAUUAUAUUUAUUAGUGGAAUAUGUGAAAAAGUUUAAGUUUAGGUUUUCUUAAUUGAUAGAGUAAUUAAUAAACUAAGAGUCUAAAACAUAUUUAGUACUGCACAAAUAUAGUUAAUUCAUUUAAUUUUUUACUUUAUAGUACAAUGUAGAUGCAGAUAUAGAUUCGCAAAAUUAUGCUCGAAAACGCGCACUCAGAAUGAAAAUUAUAGCAGAACAUAAACAAUUUAAUCAAAACGUACUAAGCGAAAAGAAAUGAAAUUUUAUUUAAAUGAAAAGGGAAAAUUAUUUAAUUUUACUUACUAAAGAGUGAUUAAAACUAUUUAACUUGAUAAAAUCUCAUCAAGCAAUUUGAUAAAUUGAUCCUUUUUUUUUCCUUACAGUUACUUAGUUCUAAAAAAUCAAAAUUAGUUCCAGAAAAAGUGUAAAUCCAAAAAUAAAUAAAUUAAUUAAUUACUUAUAAGUUAUAACAAGGAAAACCUUUUCACCAUCGUAGUUAUAGUGCAUAGGAUUUGCAACACCUAAUCAAAUAUCUCCCUAUUACAUAAAAAUAAAAUAAAAUAAAAUUACUAUUUUAAUGUACAAUUACUUUUUCUUUUCUUUUUUUUCUAAUCGGGCUUUUUUUUUUUUCUAACUGUUUUAAUUUACAACCCAUUCAACUUAAUUUUGAAGAUUUAAAAUGCAUUGAAACAAAUUUUAAAAUAUAUAAAUUUGUAUCAUAAGUUAAAAAUAUACAUAAUACAUAAUAAAAUUAUAACUUUAAAAUCAUAAAAAAUUAUAAGUUUAUUAAUUUUCAAACUUUAAAAAUAAAUAAUGUAAUAUUUAAAACUGUGUAAUUAAAUUUAAUACUCUAUAUUUUUAAAGCUUUUAAUUCGUAAUAAUUGCGUACCUUCAAGUAACCAUGCACAACGGGUGUGGGUGUGUGUGUGUCUAAAAUUUUGAAAAUAUCUCAAUUUGUAAUUAAUUAGAUAUACUGUUUUUGUUUGAAUAAUAAAUCAUAUAUAUAUAGAGGCCAGGUUAAUUUAUAGCUAGCGAUCGGCAGGGAGAAUUAUUAAUUAAGAAAAGGAAAGAAAGCUACAAAUUAAUUGACUAGCUCUAUCGAAUAUCGAUCGGUGAAUAUAUAUAUAUAUUAUUAUUAUUCUCGCCACAGAUGGAUUGACGAUCGAUUAAAUUAAAACCCAGCUAUCACCAUGAGCACAUUCAUGCGGGGCGACUACGAAGAGAUAAAGAAGGGUGUGCUUCGAGACUUGCUCGAUGGGUCCUUCCAGAAGAUCUUCGUGAAGGCAUGGAAGGGAGUCGGGGCGACCGCUUUACUCCAAGAGGUGGCGGAAGCGGUCGAGACGCGGGGGAAAGGCGAGUUUGAGACGGUGAUCAAGGUGGUGCGGCCCGCACCAUUUGGGAACCGCAGGGAGAUGCAGAGGGCGGUGGCGGAGCAGCUGAAUCUACUAUCUCCUUCAGUCACGGCCGCGUUCGACGACGCAGACGAAGACGACGACUUCUGGGGUGAGGAAUUCAGCUCAAGAGAUAUGGUUCCGAAGGUAAAAAUGGAGAUCUACCGAGCUGUGAAGGAUCAUAAAGUGCUGCUCGUCCUUUAUAAUAAUAUUGCCGAUGCCAAAUUAAUUGAUCCUAAUGAUUUGGGUAUUCUUAUCACAAAAGGGUUGAUCAACAAUGCGGCCAUGUGGACCUCUGGGAUGAAUAUUAGCAUGGAAGAAGCCGCGUCAGCGAGUGCGGAUUUUAGCGCAACGAUUAAUUCACCAAAUGAAGAAGCCGCACUUGAUCUUGUGUACAAGGAGGCCGUCGAGAUUGCCCGUUACAUUGACAAGAGCAGUGGUGGGAGCUUGCGGACCACCCCGGAAUUAGUCCUCCGCUGCUUUUGGUAUUACCUGCUGUUGUUGCGUAGAGCAGCGUUUAACCGAUCGGCACUACUACCCCAUGAUGGUCGGCCCCUGGAAGCUGCUGUCAAGUAUUUUGUGUGCGACGGAAUUUUACAUGGAGAUGAUGAUGCGGCGGCGUGGGAGAUUGGGAAAGCACUAGCUCCGCUGAUUGGACCCAUCGUAAAUGAUCAACUACUGCAAUAUUGGCAGAAAGAAUUAACCUCUACCACUUGGACGCCGAGAGGGAAAAAUAAAGAGCUGUUGCCCCCGAAAACUUUAUUGAUCGACUCUACCACACAGAGAGAUUGGGCAAAGUUCUCAUCGCCAUCAUCAUCGAAGGAGGAGGAGAGUAGUUACCGUUGGAUCUCGGUGCGCUCUCCUCAAACUAAUAUUCCAGAGCCAUGGGAUUUCUUCUUCAAAGAAUACCGCGGUUCAGUCUUAUCUGAUGUUUCAUCCGUCUUUUGGCAUUUCAAGAAAACACAUGAAGUAGCUCUACCGGACAGCUUCUUCGACCAUUUCAGCAACGUUCGAGUGCUGGAGCUUCUCGGCUGCGUAGUAAGUCCUAUAGGACAUUCCUCCUUCCUUCGUCUUCGCAACCUGAGAAUGCUUAGGCUGGAGCGGUGCAAAGUGAUUACCAAGCAAUGUUCUGUUGAUCCAACCUCUCUCUCGUUAGCGCAAGAGGAACAACGAGAGCCAAUAUUUUUUGAUAACUUAUGGGUGCUGAAUUUAUACAACUCAGAUGCCGAUGCGUUUCUUCUAGCAGGCAAACCCUUUGAGCUCACGCCUAACCUCCUGGAGCUCGAUCUCACUUAUUGCAAGGGGUUAGAAUAUCUAAACUUCAAUCUCCCUGCAACAAUUGAAACAAUCAGCCUCCAAAGGUGCGCAUCGCUAAAAGCGGUGGAGCUAGUCGACCCUGCAGAAGCUCCUUUGCCCAACCUCAAUACCUUCCGCCUCAGCGGCUCUAAGCUGAUCGCCAAGCUCUCCCUACGAGGAUGCCAUAAGUUGGAGAACGUAGACCUACAAGAAUUGAUGGGGCUCGAGGUGCUCGAUCUUUCAUGCACCGCAAUAAAAGUGGUGGAUAUCAGCAAACUCCCACAACUGAAGCAAUUAUUUCUCCUCGGAUGCGAGCAACUCCGUAGAGUAGCCGGUCUUGAUAAAGGACCAAGACUAGAUGUGCUGUACUUGGAUAACUACAAUGGCGGCGAUGCUUGCGACGUCGAUCGGUGCCUUGAUUCCUUUCGAAAUCAAAGACCAAGUGAGUUAACCAAGGGGACUAACGAUGCUGAUCAAAGAUUACUCCACGCUCAUAUGGUCGUGAAGGAUGUUAGGCUCUUCCGGUCACUUCAUUAUGCUUUUCUUGAUCGAUUAAGCAGAGCAAAAUCCUGCUUCCAUAUCCAUGUCAAGGGUUCUUCAACUGCUAAGAGAGGCACUAAUAUUGGUACUACCACCAGAUCGGCAUUAUGUUAUGCAGAUGUUUUAAACACUAUGACAGAUCGUCACCGUCGACAUCACCCGUCGCCACCUGCUAUGCCUCUGAAUAAUCACAUAGAGGUUGAUGGAGGUCACGAUUCCCGAAUAGUAGAGGAAAUACCAUUUUGGGAUAUAAUGACAUAUGCUAAUUCUUUAUUCAUUCACGACAACACAUCUAAUUUUAACAUGGGCAUUCAAUUCAGCGAUCUCAAAUAUUUCCGCAUUGAGAGGUGCCCGAAUUUGGAGUUUAUCUUCCAUUGGAGUGGUGCGGCUGAUUCUGUGGAGAGCAUAUGGCUCAGCCAACUUCCGAGGCUCAAAGCUUUACAUGAAUAUGGAAGGAUUAGGAGUGGGCAACUGAAGCAUAUUUACUUGGAGUUUUGCGCGAGGCUAGAAUAUGUACUCCCCUCAGUGUCAGAGCUACACGACUUGGAAACAAUCAACAUCCGUUAUUGCGGCGAUCUAACGGCAAUUUUCAAAUCUGAUGAUGAUAAUAAUGAAGAUGAAAACGGAGCUCCUCCAAAUCAACUUCCGAAACUGAGGUCCAUCCAUCUACAGGAGCUUCCGAAGCUACAACACAUAUACGAGCUAAACAUUUGUGCUCCGUCGCUGGAAGAGAUCAAGAUUGUGGGGUGUUUCAAUCUCGGAAAACUUCCUCUUUUCGGCCGGUCGGACGCUCGUUCAAUGAGAGGUGUGAAGAUUAGCUGCGAGAAGGAUUGGUGGGAUAAGCUACAAUGGGAUGGGUUAGAAUCCAACCACCACUCCUCUCUCUUCAACCCAAAACAUUGUCCUUACUAUAAGAAGCGUAUGAAAGCUAGAUAUUUAUGAAGCACAGCUCUGCUCCAAUGUUCAUAUGCAAGGUGAACCAUCUCUCUCUCUCUCUCUCUCUCUCUCUCUCUCUCUACAUAUUAAUUGUGUAUUUGUGUGCAUAUACACGCACAUGUGUGCUUGAUCGUGUGCGUCUAUAUGUAUUGAUGUUUGCGAAGCUUUUCAUAUGCUUUUGAGAAAUAAGUUAGCCAUAGUGCAACAUGUUCUUUCUUUUCUAUUUACAGGUGUGAGCUUGUCUACGUGUGUAAAAAUAUUACAUAUAUAUUUGAUUUCUUGAGACUUGAGUGUGUAACAGAGAAAAUGUCUAAGCAUAUAUUUGACUCUUUGAUGACAAUAAAGGACAGUAUUUAUUUAUUUUUCUUAUCUUAUUUUCUACUCUCUAUCACUGGUAGUUUUCUCUUAAGUCGUGUCAACCAAUUCAAUUUACAUUUUGUUACACAAGGGAUAAGUUGCACAAAUUAUUAACACAGCGAAGGUUGUCUAAUAGUUUGCUUGCAUGAUUAAUUAUUUAGGUCUUACGUUAAUAGCUUGAUAGAUUUGAAUUGACUUGGCAAAACCUGUGUAAAUUUGUGGAAUUCUUUUUAUAGAUUCGCAUGCUUUGAUUCUAGAGAUCUCCGAAGAAAAAUAAAUAAAUAAAUAAAGUAGUAUUUCCAAAGUAACACGAAAGGACUUUCCGUUCUCUAUUACAUCCUAUGUAUUAGUACUUCACAUUCUCUAUUACAAGUCCAUCUAGGAUACUAUCGAUGAUAGAUUAAUAGUAUUUAUUAUUUAUUUUCUAGCCCUUGAAUCAAAUAUUACUGCAACUACGGCUACUAACCAAAGUCAUCCAAAAACAAAAACUGGAUAGCAAAUACUUUUCCUCUAUUAUUGAUAGUAUUCUAACUUUACUCCUCUAUAACAUCCUGUAAAUUAGUAGGUUGUGAUUUUUCGUCCCUGUUAUUAAUGUAUCAUACAUGCCAUUUUAUUUGCUAAAUAAUUUUUUCAAGGUCUUUUUUAAAUCAUUGUUAUUAGCUUAUAUUUUCUGCAUUAUUUGUUGAGAAAUUUUGGCAUUUCAUAUCAGAAUUAGUCAGAAUUGAAGUCAAUUUAUGGCAUUUUUUGACUCCAGAAAAAAAAUUGAAAUUAAUGGAUGACUCUAUUUGUUGGUGCGUGAUAUGCAGAAAUUUUAUUCUGACUCUGAUUUAUGGGUGAACUGAGAAUUCCUCAUUCAAACCUUCUCUAAUCUGGCUUAGAAGGUUGGACUAAAAAUUAAACUCAGGCGAAAUUGAAACUGAUUCUUAAAUUCAAAAUGUGGCCAGGCCACCUUUCUUCAGACCAUGGCCGAGUACGGCGCAAGCUUUAUUCAAAAUAACGUCGGCUUAUACAUUGAAUAAGGGAAAAUAGCUUGUAGGGCAUAUUUGUUUCAUCGAAAGUAAAGUGAAGUGAAGUUGUUUAUUAUCAUUAAUAACUAACUACAUUUGUUAUUUGAUUCACCGUACAUUAUAUUUGCCUAUAACUCUAUUUUUUCAGGAUACUAUAAUUGACUUCGUCUCAGUGGCGGUGACGUCAAUAACCGGAGAAAAGAUAGAAAACAAUAAUGAAAAAUAAUGAAACACUAUAAUGAGAAAAAAUAGGGAAAUGACCAAACUUGAAAGUCAAUAAAUGAUCACUAGCAAAAUAUUUCUAAAUUAUGUAAAAAGAUGCUCAGCAGGGACUUUUUUGAAAGAAAAACUUAUAUUCAAGACUAACAUGAAAAGAAAAUAAAUUAGAAACUUUCUUGAAAUUGUCCUAAAAGUUAGAGCUCUCUUUAGAAAAUUCUAAAGUCACGAACUGCAUAACUAAUAACUAGUCAUUUCCACAAUCAAUGUCUAGUGCAAUUGGUUGAAGGGGUAAAUUAGUCCUGACAUUUUGUGGGAAAAAUAAAAAUUAAUAAUUUACUAGAUCUAGGAAGAUUCUAUUAAGGUGGGAUCUAUUGGCUUAUUCAAACAAUUUUUUUUAAAAAAAAACUAGUUAUUUGCAUUAAAAAGGAAAAAAAUUCCAACAUAACAGUACACUGCUGAGAAUGAUAAAUUGAACUUGAUAGCUAGAUAAACUUUUAACUAUCUCUUUAGUCUUCAAACAUACACCUGUAGAAUUAGGGAUAAUGCUAAGUCCUUUAUGACAUAGAAUUGGAGAUUAAGGGAAAUGUUAACCUACAACUUGUUCAUGAGUUGAUUAAUUAUCAUGGAUAUAUGAUGAUGAUGAUAUCAUGUGAACAUUUUGUUUAUUGCUUUUCUGAAGUGGUUGACCUUGUUGCCAGCAAGUAGUUAGAGGAUUACUCACAUGACCACUCACAAUGGUAAUGCAUGUUUAUUGGUAUGGAAGAUUAUUUCAAUUGGCUAAGUAGUGUAUCUUAAAAUUUUGGUAAAUUAUUCUUUUUCAAUUUGUUGAAUAUAAAAUGUUAACUCAUCAGCUAUGUAGUUAUGAUUUUUGAGACAAAGCAGAAGGUCAUGAGUUCCAAAAAUGCUCUGCAUUUGAUCUUCUUAGUAAUUGUUGAAUAACAAUCAAUAGUACGCAACUAGUUGCAUUCUUAACCUUCCAAGUUAAAUAGAUUUCAGUAGAUAUAUCAUAUUCUUAAAAUUAUAUAGGUUUUGGUGUUGGCCAAAACUCACUAACAAUUGGCAUCGAAACAAUGGCUUAAAAUGUUGAAUCUAAACUGACAAAACAUCAUUCUCUAAUAAUUUAAACUUUUGGGAUAAUUUGAUAUUUUCACUAGUUUGAGAAUGUAGAGGCCACGUACAUCCAUUUACAUGCGUUUUGCACUAGUUUGAUAUUGCAGUGUCUAAAGAACAUCCAUUUACAUGCUUAGAAGAUCCAAGGAAAAAAGAAACAAGUGGUUAAUUAAGUGACACCCUAAUAGUCCCACAUUGCAUGUAAAAGAAAUUGUGAUAGAGUAUAUAAGGAUUAAAAAGAAUUUAGUAUUAAUAAUUGGGCUUAAAUAUAUAAUUUUAGCCGGUGACUUAAACACAAUAAAUUAUUAGUACUAGUAAACUGAAUCGUUAGUGUUAAAACUUUCUUAGUAUUGCAACUUGUUCUAUACUUUACACCAAAUGAUGAAUUGCUACUAAUAUUAGUUUGACUUCUCCUCAAAGUUAGACUUUUCAGUCAUUUAUUAGAGAAUGCUAUUAUACCGUGCAACACAUGAUCGGCUCAGAAAACUACUACUUCUAAGUUUAUUUCACAGGAUAUCCUUUAUUCCAUGAAUUAAUAAUAUAAUAACUAAUAGGGUUAAUUGCAUAUAAUUUUUUAUAAACAUAUCGAAUAGCAAAUAUAUUCCUACAAAAUUCAACUUUUCAUUUUUAUCACUGCAAAAGUUCAAUGAUAAAUCCAUAGUUGCCCCUCUAGCUUGUUACCGUUAGAACGCUACUUAUUUUUUAACAGCAGAUAAGUAAAAUAUCAUUUUUGUCCUUAAAAAUAUAUCCCUCCGAAUGCCCCAACUGUUAGAAUUAUACAGAAAUAUCUUUCCAAAGAAAUAGUUUAUGCAAUAACAUAAGAGAGGUAAACAAGUCAAUUUAACUCAUUCACUAACUUAGAGUUAAGUAUUUUAUUUAUGGUUUACUACAUUUUCUAGCGGAUCCUAACAAUAAGGAUAUAUUAGAAAACAUUUAGGACUUUUGUAAGAAUAUAUAUAGAUAAAAAGUUAAACUUUAUAGAUAUAUAUAUCUGUUAUUCAAUAUAUUUACAGAAAGCUAGAUGCAAUUAACCCUAACUAACUAAUGCUUGUUAGAACUUGCCUUCUGAAUGGUGGAGUAGCUCAUGUUUUAAUUGGAAGCUUAAUUUUAUCAUCUAUUUCACGAAUAAAGAAGCACACCACAAAAGAACCCAAACACAAUAAGCGACACAAAUAUUAACGUGGUUUGUCACAGGACCUACAUCUUUUUAUAUUUAUACAUUAAUAUAAAAGAUUUUUUUUUUUCUUAUUAUUAAACUGUUAAUUCUCAAAAUUUAUUCAAUGCUAGCUCUUUUACUCUUACUGAGAAUCUACGGAUGGGAAUGAUUUUGGCUAACUUUAAAUUUCUAUUUCUCAUUUGAUUAUAAAACAUAUUAAAUUUUUAAGUUGAGAUUUUAUGAAUUUGACUUUGAAUUUUGAAUUAAAGUUAUAAAUACUUACUCCGCGAUCAACGUAGACCCAAAUCUCUUUACACAUAUUGUGUCAAAAAUUACAGACCCGUUUAGAAUAAGGUUCUGCGUCCGAGUUUUUGACCAAAAUUUCUAAAAAAUAUAGUUAAAUUAAAUUAUUGAAUCAGAUUCUUUGUAUAUAAAUGAAGAAUAUCGAAAACAUAGGAAGUUAUAUAUCCUUUAAUAAACAAUUUUAAGUUAAAAAAAAAGAAAAUUGUACAUUAUAAUUAUUUACUAUUUAAACUAAUUAUUGUUAAUUCAGAUCGGCGCAACCGGUUUUGAUCCAAAUUUUUUUUUGCCCGAUCAACUUAAUUUUAUAAUUCGGAUAAAAUAAUCUUGUCUCGACGUUGAUUUCGGACAAAUUUUUGUUGGUCUAAGAUCGAAUAAGUUUUCGGGUCUGACUUAAAUUAGUCACGGUCGGGUUGUAUUUUCGCAACCCCUCACAAGGUUUGUAAUUUUAGAUGUUAACAUCGUUAAACACCAAUUUUGCAUUUUAAUAUCCAAGAAGUAACCUUUUUAUAAAAUCAGUUAUUUUUUCAUAUUUAAAAUUGCUUAAUUUUUUAUAUGGGAAUAAUGAAAAAGAGAAAGGAGAAAGAGAGAGGAGAAGCAAGAGAGCAAGAAAAAAUUUGGUUUAAAGUGUAUCAUUUUCGUACCAUGUAAUUUUAUUUUUCUCUUUUUGUUAUCCACUCCACUAAUUUUUUUCGUUAAAUCAGUGACAAAGUUAAAACUAAAGAAUUCUAAAAUAAAUAUAAGUGGGAUGUCUGAAAUUUUUUGUAUGUGAUUUAACGAAAAUCCCGACGAAAAGAGAAAAAUGAAACUAUAGAGUACUAAUUGAUACACUUUAAACCAUAAGAUACUAAAGUGAGAAAGUGUAAAACCACAGGGUUGGUAUUUAAAAUUUACCCAUAGAUAACUUAUAUUAUAUGCUGGAUGGUCCAUGUUCCAUCCUUAAUAUUUGCAAUUUUAUCCUUAUACUUUUCACUUAACCACUUUAAUAUAUAAAAUUUCACAUGUAAUGUCCUUUAUUAUGGUUAAUUGAAGUUGAAGCUUUUCCCAACAAAAAAUAAAAGAAAAAGAGUAAGUUAUAAUAUACAGAUAAUACAGGGACUUCGCCAUGCAUUUUUAACCGAUCAAAUAACGUGGGACGUGGAGGCACGUUCGAUCGGGGGGAAUCAGUGGGCCCCACAUAACGUGGUUGGUCGGUUGAGCCGUUGAAACCCCCGCUUCCUAAAUUUAAUUCAAAAAAUUAAGGUGAAAUAUUAUGCAGAUCCCCCUCUACUAUAUCGAUUUUUGCAACAGAUCCCUAAACUUCGCUUGCUUUAUUUUUUUGGAAUUAAGUAUCCUUUAUCAAAAAAUUAUAAAUUUCAUCAAAUUUAUUGAUGAUUUCACUAAAGUUAACAAUUUUAAUCAUAACUAAGUAUAAAAACUUAAAUCAAAAGAUACAAGGUGAGGGAUCUCAACCCAAAAAAUAAUAGUUGAAGAGCGCAUUUCAGAAUAGAUAUAGUUGAGGGGUCUUCAUACAAUUUUACCCCCAAAACAUUUAUCUCUCUCCUCACAAAACUCCUCCCCCACAUUGAAUCCCCUCUUCACCCUCUCUAGUUGUUGUUGUUGUUGUUGUAGUAGUAGUUUUUGUUAUUGUUGUUGUUUUUGUUGUUGUUACCAUCUUAUUGCUUCCCCCUUUUCCUCCUCUUUCUCAUUCCGUAAUCAAGGCCACAUCUUUUUCCCCUCAUCUAAUUUGUUGGCCUCUUCAAGGUGCACACCAACUGUUUGAUUCUUUGUUUGUAUGGCAAAUUCCUUCACUUUCCCCUUCAUUUUUGACCUUUACGAUUAAAUUUCAUGUAUGAUUAUGGAUUCGGAGAAUUGGGUUUCGUUUAGUUGUUUGUAAGAUGAUACUAAUUGGUUAAAAAUUGAAUUUUUCUUCUUGUUCUUCUUGUUCUGCUGCAGGAUUGUUGUUAAGGAAGCUCAUUUAGAGGGGUAUUCAGGGUUGAGAAGGUUGGCAAUAUGUGUUGCUGCGGUGGUGUAGAGAAGGAGUCGCAUGGGCCGCCUGUGAACCACUAUGCGGCGCCGCCGGCCCGACCGGCGGCUCCAGGUUAGUUUUCUUCUAGUUGUUUUUAUCAGAUUGUUACAUAAAAGAUCGAUCUGAUAGGAACCAGUUUAGGCCCGUUCAUGUGCACAGUGGUGAUCAGGUGAAUCAUGUCAUGUGCGCACACAAUGGAGUUGCGAAAUUAAUCCCAAGACCUAUUGGAACUGGGCGAGCGUAGGAUUGGCUCUAAAACCAUGUUACGCAAAUGAUCGAUUUAGUGGAAAAUAGUCCGAUAUUUCUUCUGUUAUCAAUCUAACAUGUUUCAUAAUUUGAUCACCUUUUCUCUGUAGUAAGCGGUAGCGCAUUUGUCUUUCUCACAAUCUUGUGCAGUUUUAGAUGGGAAAACCAGAGAAAGAAUCGCCUAUUUUGUUUGAAAAGUCAACCGCGACAUCAAGAUCUUGAAAACAUUAAAUAUUCUUGUAAUUACAUGUUGAUGCAUAAAUAAUGAUAGUUAGGUCAUUUUGACACUUUGGUUUUGUUUCUUUUUUUAACAGAGUAAGUUGACUUUGUAAAGAGCUCGAAAACAUUAUAGUUUAGUGCCAAAAAGACAUUAUUAGCAUAGUACAGAGGAUUGAUCAAAAAAAAAAAGGUGGUUUUUAUAAAUUUGUUCUCUUAUUAUAGUUUGGUUACUAAAUAUACGAGAUGUUCGUGAUUGUUCAAGGCUCCAUGGAUAACUUGUUUCAAAAGCCAAAAAUGGACAGCUAGAUCUUAAGAUUUAAAGACCAUAAAUAAAGAGUUAAACAAUGGGAACGAUGAUGCAUGACCGCAAACUAUUCAAAAAUGUGCUCCCAACUUCCCUACCAUCGUAGCCCAAAAGUUCGAGUUCUUUUCUGCUCAGAUGUGUCGAAAUUGGGUAUUAAACAGUUUAAUGCUGUGAUCUCAUAUUAGAAAUAGUUUAAGGCCAGUAACACUUGAAUUUUUAAGGUUUAGUUCCAAUUCUUAUUCAUGUAUCUCUCUAUGUAUAUAUCUGAUUCAAAUCUGAUUGUUAACAUAUAAAAGAUAUUAAUGCCAUGCUUCUUCCCUUACCUUAAAGGCUGACCUGUUGGCUGAGAAGCACUAGAAUGAUCCCUAACAUAAAUGGUACAUUAGAAUGCUUCUUCCUUAGGCAAUAAAAUUUACAUUUUAUAUCUAUUAUGCUUGAAUUGGGCUAAUUCACAACUUAUGCCGAAUUUCUGACUGUAACCAUUCUUUCUUUUUUUAUUAUUAUGUAAUCUCUUCUGUAUUUUGUGUAAUCUCUUCAAUCUUCAGUACGAGAUAAGUAGUCCUAUGUACGCAAUUAAGUCAUUAGUACCCAUACACUACACUAUAUGGGAAUGUGUUAUAGUAGUCAAUUUAAAUGUAAAACAAAUUUAAACGCAAUGUUUUACAUUGUUCUGAUUUUUUUUGUUUUCUUUCUGUGUAAUUUAGGUCCAAAUCGAGAGCAAAGAGCCCCAAAUCCACCCAAAAGUGCCGCACCUCAAAAGGUCUUGCCUAUUGAUGCUCCAGCCCUGUCACUGGCCAAGCUGAGUCGGCUAACUGGUAAUUUUGGUGACAAUGCAUUGAUAGGAGAAGGCUCUUAUGGCCGAGUCUUCUAUGCAACUUUAACUUCAGGAGAAGCUGUUGCAGUGAAAAAGCUCGACCCAAGCGUCUCGAAUGAAUCCGACUCUGAUUUCUCUGCUCAGGUGAUUCUUUAAUACUGACCUAAUGGCAUAACAAAAAUGUUUGUAGACUCCCUCAACCAGCUUAACUUUUGGUUUUGAUCCAGUUAAUUCUUUUGCUGAAAUGGGGAUACUAUAUAUAGUUAAUUACUUCGAUAGUUGUUAUCUUUAUUCAACUAAUGCAAUAACUAAAACCAAAAUGAACAAAAGUUGUUGGGCGGCAACAAAUUGCGAGAUCCUUUUUAAAAUCGCCUAUUCCUGGGGAGUCUCUUUACAUUUUAUUUUUUAUUUAACCUACUGUGAACGAUACAGAAGUACUAUUAGAACUACUGAAUCUGGCAAUUGAUGGUAACUUUGAUCCCUUCCAUAUUCAUGGUUGUUGAUGCAGCUAUCAAUGGUUUCGAGACUAAAGAACGAGAAUUUUGUUCAGCUGCUGGGUUACUGCUUGGAAGCAAGUAAUAGGAUAUUGGUCUACCAGUUUGCAGCAAAAGGAUCUUUGCAUGAUAUCUUGCAUGGUAUAGUUACUCUACUUUCCUGCUUAACUACAUUGAGUAAGCUUUGCAACAAAGAAUAUUACAUAAAAACUGAAAAGUUUCGAGAAAAAGCCUAAAGCCAUCUCAAAUUUAGAAAUGUAAAUUAAUUUAUAGUAAGAUUACAUUCAAAUAUGGGUACCAUACAAUUAUAUCCAAAUUAUCCAUAUCUAUCCCAUAUCUACUUGGAUUAAAUAAAUCUUCGGGGAGAGAAAAUGGUGGGAUAGCUUGGAAUGGAGUGACGACGAAAGCGUCAGGUCUCGUUUUUCUUCGUCUUUUAGAGAAACUACGGAUAGAUCUUUACCGAAGUUCGGUUAUUCAUACUAACUUGUACAAUGAUUUUCUCUACAAUUUUCUUCUCUCCAAUUUUCCACAUUUUGAUCAUAUUGUCUUUUGUUUUCUUUUUUUUUCGAAUGUCUUGAUUGAAUUUGUCUAUUUCGGAUUCGACAAAUAUACGUAUAUCCUUUUCAUAUUACUUAUUUGUUCUUCAAAUCAUAUUUUAUUACGGUGAUUACUGCUGCAUUAAUCCUUGUUAAUUAAUCUCAUUGCGCAAGAUACAUACAAAUGCAUGCAAAUGCAUUUUAAUUUCUUGUAUAUAAACUUAUGCUUUUGUAUCAAAAGCGUAAAGUGAGAGGGCCUUUUUCUCCUUGACAUGCACCAAGAAAUGAAAUGAAGGAGAAGAAACUGUGAGCCAAAUUAAGGUCAACUAAUUUUAUUUAGCAAUUAAAAGAUACUAAUUUUCGCUUAGUCGUGUCAAUUUGAGGCUUCUAGAUGUCCACUAGUUGACCUUGGAUAUUCAAGAAAACAAUUCUUCCAUUAAUUGUGUCAUCUCAAGUCUUUUUGGCCGUUUGAUCGAUUGAUGGUAUGUUGAUUUGAGACUUCUAGAAAGAUUUUGUUGUGCUCGAGUCAUGUUAUCUCGGUCGCCUCUGAGUUUCCUGUGCCGUACACAUUAAUUUAAUAUUGAUAUUGAUAUCAUGAAUACGAUUGAUAUCGUGAGUACACAUUAAUUUUCUUUGCCUUUUGUUAAUUUUGUUAGCUAAGAUAUUGUUACAAUUGAUAUCAUGAAUUCAACCAAUUGGGCUUUUAACGAUCGAACCCACUAACACUAAUACUCAUUAGUCAAAAUCAUCAAACCAAAAUAUUUAGAUCAGAUACGUGGCUCAAGAUCACUAGGUGGUGUGAAAUUAUCUCAUCUUUCUAUGUUAUUGACGCUUGGACAAUCUUAUCUUUGUCAUUAAUAUUAUUAUAAAAUUAAAACAAUUUCACACUAUUAUAGAAAGUUAAAAAUAAGAAAUAAAUUUGUUACGUAAUCAAUAUAUUUGUGACUACAUCAACUACGUAAUCUUAUGUUAUCAUAUUUAAAAGACCUACUUUUUUUAACUCUUCAUAACUAAUUAGGCCCUAAUUCUUCAUAAAUUUUCAUAAAAUAUUUGACUAAAUUAUUAUUUUUUAAUAAAAAACACUAAUGUGCAAUACAAGGGCUAAUGAGAUGCUUAUUUUAAAAUUAACCGACUCGAAAAUACUGAAGCAAGGAGAUUCCAACGUCACACCUUUAAUUAUUUUAAAAUAUGUUCCUUUCCAAAGUAACAAUUUAAGAAUUAUACUUUUAUAACAGAAUCAUCUACUUUUGCCAAGCUGCAAUUCAAAUUAUUGACACAUGGCAAUCUGAAUUAAGACAAUAAUGUUAUUCAUUUAUAACAUAUGGUUUAACAACUAGUUUAGUUCGAAAUUGAUCGACGUAAGAUCAUUGAAAUAAAGAAUGUCCAACCCUAUAUCUCUUUAAUUUGCUUUAAAAUAGAUUCCUUGCUAAAGUGGCGAGUGAAAAAUUAUGCUUUUGUUGUGGAAGUAGCUUCUGCUUCCACUAAGUGGCAAUCGAAUGACACGUGGCAAUCUGAUUUAAGACAAUUAUAUUUUUUGUAAUUAAAAAGUUAAAACAAUUAUAUUUUGAAAUUAAUCGACCCAAGAAUAUUGAAGCAAAGAAUUCCUAAUGAUACAACUUUGAUUGUUUAAAAAUAUGUUCCUUCCAAAGUGAAGUGUAGAAUCAUACUUUUGUAGCCGAACCAUCAGCUUUCGCCAUGUGGCAAUCAAAAUUAUUGACGCAUAGCAAUCUGAAUUAAGACAAAUAUAUUAUUCAUGUACAAUCAAAGAGUCUCCAACCGUAUAUCUUAAAUUUUGUUCGCAAUGGAUUCCUUUCGAAUGUAGCGAGUAAAGAAUUAUGCUUUUGUUGCCAAAACCUCUGCUUCCACCAAGCGGUAAUCGGAAUUGUUGAUAUGUGCCAAUAUGAUUUAAGACAAUUAUAUUUUUUUAUAAUUAAAAUUGUUUAAGCUACAAUGGAAAGAGUUAAAAGUAUUUAAAAGAAAAUUGGGCAAGCAAAGCAACAUAUCUAUCUAUAGCGUCAUCUAUCUAUAUGCGAUUAAUUCGUAAAAAAUUACAUGUGGGUCCCACAACCCCCAAAAUAAGUGGAUAAAUUGAUACACUUUAAACCAUAGGGCACUAAAGCGAGAAAGUGCGAAACUACAGGAAUUUAACAGUUGAGACAUAAUCGCUAUAAAAUCAAGAAGAAGUGAGAAGUUGAUUGAAAAAAAAAAAUUAAAAAAUUAGGGACUAAAGUAGAAAUGGUGCAAAGGUUGGGACAAAUGGUGCAAUUGAUCCUCAAUUAAAAAAAAAAAAAAUAUGGGACCCACAAAAUCCCCCAAAUAAGGAGAGCUCUUCUUUUGAUUCCCAAAUCAUAUAUUUAUAAAUUUUAAAUGUAAAUUGAAAUAUCAAAAUCAAAAUAAAAAAUUUAAGUUUGAAAUCAAAAAUUAUAUUCAAUUUAAAAUUCAAAUUUAAAAUUUUAAUUUCAAUUUAAAUUUAAACUUUAAAUUUGAAUUUAAAAUUUUAAUUUCUAUAUACGGCCCACAAUCAAUCAAAAUAAGAAGAGACUCGGUUUAAAAUUUAAAUUUCAAUUUAACUUCAAACUUUAAAUUUAAAUUUAAAAUUUUAUUUUUUGAAUGUAANACCUAUUAGUCAAAAAAAAGAGUAAUUAAGAAGGAGGGGAAUUAACAAGACCAAAUUGUCUAAUUAUCUCUUAAUUGUAAGAAAAAUAAUUAAAGCAGCAUAUGUAUAUAUAUAGAUAUUCAGCACUCAUUAAUCUUAAAAGGAUUCUGAUUCUGAAAAUUAACUCUAAAUUGUACAAUGCCUCUAGCUAGGGAAAUAUUUGAAAUGAUUCAUAUAUAUAUAUAUAUAUAGAGAGAGAGAGAGAGAGAGAGAGAGAGAGAGAGAGAGAGAGAGAGAGAGUGGUGUGUGUGUGCGUUGAGUUUUCAACACCAUUUAAGGAUGAGUGGGUUUCACAUGAAAAAAGCAAAAAAAAAGAAAAAAAAAAAAGUAGGGUGGUUCCAACGGCCCUCGAGUGCGGGGAGAGCUCCUAUAGGUUCCCAAAUCAUGUAUUGAUAUAAAUAAAUAUGUACUAAUUAAUCAAUCCAAGAAUACAUACAUAAGCAAAGAAUCUCACGCCGUACAUCUUUAAUUUGCUUUAAUUAGUUCCUUCUCGAAGUGGCAAGUACAGGAUCAUAUUUUGUAGCUUAAAUUUUUGUUUUUACCGAGGGACAAGCCAAAUUAUUGAAAUUUGUAUUUGUUUAUUUCUUCGAAAGUAGAGAUAUGUAAAGUAAUUUUCGUCAUAAAUGCCUACUUCUAUAGUUUUGUUUACCAUAACUCCACAUUCAAGGGUAUGUUUAUUUGAAUGGAAGUGAGGUGGAAGUGAAGAGAGGGAAGUCGUUUUCCUCAUAAACGAUCACUUUCGUUGUUUGGUUCGCCAUAAAAAAAUUAAAGUCGAAAUUCAAGUUAAUCUGAAAUAGUGUAAUUUACUUAAGCCGAAGUCAACUACAAUGAAUGGAGGUGAAGUAAAAAAAUAAUAAAAUAAUAUACUAGAUAAAGUUAGUUAUACUUAAAUAUAUUUAAUUAUGGUACUAAUUACUCUUUUAUUCAUUUGGUAUAUUUAAAAUAUGAUAAAAAUUGAUUAGGUAAGUUUUAAUAUUUUAUUUAUUUAGUUUGUAUAAUUAAAAUAUGAUAAAAAUUGAUUAAUUAAGUAUUAAUAUAUUUUUACUUUAUAAUUUUAUUGGUGUAUUACUAUAAUUUACGUAUAAAAAAUAAUUUAUUUGUUUUAAAUUAAAUUUUAAUUAUAUAAAAAUAUAAUUAUAUUAUUUUUAUUUAUUAAAUUAUUUAUUAUUUAUACAUAAAUUAUAAUUUUACAUCAUACACUUCUUACCAAACAAACAGCAGAACUAAAGAAACUUCACUUUCAUAACCACAAAAUAAAUAGUGAGGAAGAAAUAGUUUUCACCGAACUUCAUUUCGAUUCAAAGUUCAGUUUCGGUGAAACAAAUAUGCCCUAAUCGAAACUCAAACUUUUCCAAAUGCCGUAAUUGACUUCGGCCUAUUUUGGACCGAAGGUAAUUAGGAAAAAAAAAGAGAGAAAAAUAAUAAAAUAGCAAUCACAAAAAACUUUAGCUUUUACGUCAUUAACGUUCUGCGAAACAAACAGUAGAAUUAAGCCCAAACCAUCGGUCCAAAAUAUUUAAACGUAGUUAUUAUUAUUAGGGUCCAUGAACUUUUAUAUACCUAAUCGCAAGUCACAGACUCUCCCGUUUAGGUCAUGAUGUCCUCGUCAACCCAAUUACAUACACACACCCAAAAUCACCAAGCGAUGUGAGAACUACCUCACUCUUUCGACUGGUGAACAGACUCUGAUAUUAUAUGUAUCGAUCCGAUUCGCUAGCAAUAAUAAUUCAUUGGGCCCAAACCAGCAGCCCAAAAUAUUUUAGCACAGUUAUUAUUAUUAGGCUCCAUAAUCUCUUAUAUAUCCAAUCACAAUUUUGUUUCCAAUCACAAUUUCGUUUUCAUGCGAUGUAGGAAUAUUAAAGUUUUCGUGCAAUGUAGGAAUAUUAAAGUGUCACACCGUUAUAAAAACAAAUUGUUUGGCAAGCUAGAAUAUCAGUUAGGUGAAGCUAUCCUUGCAACUACCCGACCUGCUAGCAAUAAUAACUCGUUGGGCCUAAAUCACCGGCCCAAAAUGCUUAAGCCCGGCUAUAAUUACUAGCGUUUAGGCCUCAUAUAAACCGAUCAGAAUCAGUAUCCCAUUCAAUGUGAGACUAUUGUGGAACUAUUGGAGUGUUACAAUCCUGGACGAGAAUCUCAUCUAAUUAUGUGUACAAUUUUGAGGUAAAAGUCUACAUGCCUAGCAUUGUAGUUUCUGUAAUUGUAAUGUAAAGGACUUAAAAUAGGAAAAGUGCACCUUGCGCAUAAUGUGUUCGUAUAGAUAGAUUCCUUAGUAGAGGUAUAUACAUGUACUAAUUAAUCAACUUAAGGAUAAAGAAGCAAGGAAUUUUGAGCCGUACACCUUUAAUUUGCUUUCGAAUUGGUUCCCUCUUAAAGUGGCAAGCAAAGGAUCAAAGUUUCGUAGCUUAAAUUUCUUAUUUCACUGAGCGACAAGCCAAAUUAUUAACCCCUGGGGUCUGUCCGUUUCACCAAAAGUGGAGUGGAGUGAAUUCAUUUUUAGCAUAAAUGUUCACUUUUAUUGUUUGGUUUAUCAUAUAUAACUCCAUUUUCAGUCGAAGCGUAAACUUUCAAAAUCUCGUAAUUGACUUCAGACUACUUUGGGCCGAAAUAUUAAGUAUGAAAACUUUAGCUUUUAUGUUAUUAACUUUCUGCCGAACACACAGCAGAACUCGAAAAAAAAAAAAAAAAGUUUCACAAUUAUAAAAAUAAAUUGUAUAAAAAUAAAUUAUAUGUAAUUAGUAUGUCUAUCUAUGGAAACAAAGAGCUUUAUACAACGAGUUUAAAAUAAAGAGCUUUAAACCCACUAUCAGCCAGCCCAAAAUGCUUUCAACCAAAUUGUAUGUUUAUUUAUAAAAUAAGGAGCUUUCAAUCAGAAAUUGUCCUGCAUAACACACUUAUCUCUCAUACUUUCGACUGGUAUUCGACUCUAAGACCAAUUGCAACAACCCGACCCGCUAGCAAUAAUAACUUGUCGGAUCCAAACCACCGGCCAAAAUACCUAAGCCCAAUUAUUAUUACUAAAAUGUAUGUCUCAUAUAUUCUAAUCCGAAUAAGUUUCUCACCCGAUGUGGGAUUAUUAGGACGUUACAGAAAAUAACUAAGUUUUAAUUUUAUUUUAAAUUUUUAUAAAACAAAUUAUGUUUCUCAAAAUUAAUUUACUAUUUUUUAAAAAAUAAAAUUUUAAAAAAUAUCAGCAUGAAACGCAUGGGUCAGCAACCAAUUUAUUUUGAAAUUAAUUAGUCAAAUACUAUAUAAAUCAAAGAAUCGCCAACUCAACACCAUUAGUUUGCUUUAAAAUGAUUUUUUUUUUUUUCAAAAUUGCACGUAUGGAAUGAUACUUUCAUACCCAAAAAUAUAAUUUGUCUAGAGAGUUAAAAACAGGAAAUAAAUUUGGUAGGUAAUUACUAAAUCUAUCUCUAGAUCCAUCUUUUGUUUACUUGCUUUAGAGUUUGUUCCUUUCCAACAUAACAAGGAAUCAGAUUUUUUUUUUUUUCUUUUUCUUUUUUCCUCGUACCUGCCUAUAAAUACAUUCUAUUAUAGUUGUUCCUUUAGCAAGUUGAAAGCCUUUAGCAUACUCUCAUAUUGCAAGGAAGACCUAUACUAUGGAUUUGUGGUCACCGGGCUGAGUGAAUGAGCGCAUGAAGGAAUGCUCUGGACAGCGGUAGAAAGAUACGAUGUUCGAUACUCACGUAAAUGGACAACAAGCCAUUUGGAUAUGUCUGGUGUUUUUUCUCCUUAACGCACAAACAGGCAUUUAGUCAUUCGGAUUCUGUCUGGGCUCUUCCUCCUUGACGCACAAAUAGGCAUUUAGUCAUUCGGGUACGCACUUAUUUAAUUUCUUACAUAUUCUUACUACUUAUUGUUUGUUGUUUCGUUAUUUUUCUGAUUCUGUUAUUGGUCAUUGUAACUAAGGUUUAAGGCUUCUUUUCUUUUCAAUAAGGAUUAAGCUACUUGAAUAAUACAAUUACACGACCAUAAGAAAAUAAUUAACUCCUAAUAAUAUAAAGUAGUAACUAUUCAUUAAAUCAAGCUUAGAAGGAAGGAAAUAACAAUUUAAUAUGGUAUGUAAUUAGGAGAUUUGUUACGAUUACAUGUUUGAACACACAUUAUAUACAAUAUCUAUUGGAUUUCGAAGGGAGUCAAUGUUCUAUUGGUUUAUUUUAGUUUUCCUUCGCAUUCUUUUAUGGCCUAAUUGUAAUCGCCAUUUUCUUGGUCAUCCAAACUCACAACUCUUAAAAUUAAGAUGAAAACUAUGGUAUAUGGUUUAUGAAACAAUAUAUAUUCCUUUCCAUCGUAGCAAGUGAAGAGUUAGACUUUAUUUUUCCUACUUGCUUAUUAAUUCAUUUUUUUCUAAUUGCUUUGUUCAGCAAGUUGAAAGCUGUUUGGAUCUCUCUGCUGCUCUUUCUCCCUAACACACGAAUAAUAUUAAAUCAUUCGGGUACGUAAAUAUUUAAUUUCUCGCAUUAUUCUUAUUACUUAUCUUUUGAUUUUUGUUUCGUUAUUUAUCUGGUUCUGUUAUUGGUUAUUGUAAUUGAGAUUUAAGGCUUUUGUUUAUUCAAUAGGGAUUAAGCCCCUUAAAUAACAUGAUUACAUGACUAAAAAAAAAGGAAACUUCUAAUAAUAUAAGGUAAUUAUUCAAAUAUUAAAUCAAGCUUCCAAGGAAGGAAAUAACAUUCUAAUAUGGUAUGUAAUUAAGAGAAUUUGUUGUGAUUAUAUGCCUGAACACAAAUAAUAUAUAAUAUCUAUUGGAUUUCGAAGGGAGUCAAUAUUUUGUUGUUUUAUUUUAGUUGUCUAAUUGUAAUUGCCAUUUACUUGUUCAUUCAAACUCAAACUCUUAAAACCCAAAUGAAAACCAUGGUAUUUAUGAUACAAAUAUAUUGUUUUUCUAACACAACUUAUUUUUAAACUAUUUGAUACUUUAGCAAUAGUUUUCAAAUCUAUAAAUUUUUAUGUAUAAACUGUGUAGGUUUUAGAUUACGUUUUUUUUUUUNGAAGGAAAUAACAUUCUAAUAUGGUAUGUAAUUAAGAGAAUUUGUUGUGAUUAUAUGCCUGAACACAAAUAAUAUAUAAUAUCUAUUGGAUUUCGAAGAGAAAAAAAAUAGCAAGCUACCUGCCAAAUAUAAAAUGACCAACCAGUUCUAGCGGUAGAAAGCUUAACAUUUAAUUUAAAGGUUAGUUUCACGAGUGUCCCUCUACAUUUAUCUAAGUACAUAGAAACCCUCCAAAAAUUAUCAAUAUCAAAUAUACUUCUUAAAUUUAGAAAGAUUAUAUGGCUUAAGCCGUUAACUUUUAGUUUUUCUAGCCAUUUAAAUCCGCUUAACUAAUGAAUUUUUUCAAAUUACGUUAUUUUAGACUGAAAAUUAGAGGAUUUUAUCAAAUUUAUUAGUAAUUUCACUAAAUUUAAUGACUUCAAUUACUUUUUAGCAUAUAGCUGAGAGGGUCUCCGCAAUCUUUUGUCACGCCCCCGGGGUCCCUUUUAGUUUAAAAGGUAGCGGAAAAGCGUCUGAAAAAUUUUUUUUUAAAAAUCUGACCCCAGAGUGUGCCAGAUCCGCCACAAAUACAGGAGCUCCACUGUUCACACGGACAGAGUCUCCCCUGUAUUUGCACGGCGUCGCACAAGUACAACAGAGUAUAGAUACACAUACAAUCACAACCACAACCAGAUGAACAACAAGAUAGAUAACAUUCAUCCAUUCCAUUCACACACACAGAUAUGAUACUUGAAUUAUGAAUAACAUUCCACAUCUAUCAGUUAAAAUGUUUCCUACCUGGAAACUGAUUUUGAAAUACUAAAUCCAUAGAACCACAGAAAAAUCAAUUUAAAAACUAAUCCCCACACGGGAACCAUUCUUUUCAAACCAGCUACCACGAGGGGUAGAAAACUGUUUUAUUUCAAGAAAAACUCAAAUCCUUUAGUGCAUUUCAAAACCAAUUGAAAACCAGAUAAUCAGAUAAUAAAAUAGAAACUGAACCAUAAUAUGUCUAAGUAUUUAUUCGAGCAUGAAGGGUAAAAGGGAUAACCGACUCGGGAAGGAGCUCUAUCGCACGCUAGACACGCUCCUCACCAGCUGUCCCACUCGGACCUGCUACGUCACCUGUAAUGGGGGCGGGGGGUGAGAACAUGUAAACAUGUCUCCCCUCCCAGUGGGUACCGCAAGCCGAAGGAGGCGAGGGGUACUCACUAGUCACGGAGAUAAACAAAUAUACGGAUAAUGAUAGUACAGUAGCUAAGAUAAACAAGUGCUGAAAUGAAUAUAAAUGAACAACUACAGCUACUGUAUGUAUGCAUCAACGGGACAAUCAAUCCAAAAGUACCCAAUCUGAACCACUGCUCUCUUGGUCAGCACCGCAGACCUCAAGCCAAUGCCACUACUACUCUCCAGUGCAUAUAACCCUUCUAGGGCUCACGGGUUGUCACCAUUCAACCACUUUUCCGGAAAAGAACACUCCUUGCGGUGGAUCAGACCGCCAGUGUUCGUGAAAUGCGACGAGUAUCGGGCGAUCAAUGCAAUAUGCUCAAUGAUCAACCGUCGGCAACCAGCCGACAAUCCUGCCCCCCAGGGCCCAUCGACCGCAUGGGUCAUCAUGUAACCAAAUCGACCAACCAGGUCACAAAUAUGGAGUAUGAAACUCGACCAACCAGGUCAUAGAUACAACAAAGGAGAAUCAACCAACCAGAUCACAGAUAUCAUAUGCUGAAGAAAUCUACUCUACUCCUACACAAGAUACCGAGCAUGCAAACAACCGAGUAGAGUAAUACGAGGAUAAUAUGAUAAGCAAAGUAUAUGAUAAGCAAUGUAAAUAGGAAGGGUGGAAGGAACGUCACCGAGCGUGCACCACUGUACCGACGUCGGGUCGAAGUACCCACCUGUAUGUAUCCGACGAAGGUCUCUCGACUGUGAAGACGGUGCAACCGAACCUACGAAAGGUCCACGGGUUAAGGUCUAACCCACUGACAUGAAAAGCUAACUCACAACCCCUGCUAACCAAAACCACGACCGAUUUCCCAAAACCGAUUACCAAAUAAGCCGGAAGUCCCGAAAACUGCACCGGAACUUUCUCGUCGCUCCCCCGUCGUUUCCGAACCCUCAAAACGACGCGGGUGACCAGCCAACCAGGCUCAGCGACGCCACAAUCAGCCACGAGGCACCGUCGGAUGAAAUCCGAACCGAAACCGCGUUCUAUCGGCAGAUUUCGCCGAAAAACGCCUCGGAAAUCACUUUUCGAUUUCCGCAAAGGCUUGGGGCCUUGGACGAUCAGUCCAGAGGUUACCCUC